UUAUUUUGGUACCAUAGUCGGACCAUGAGUGUAUUGGAUGAUUGUAAUGUUAUUCAUGUAUUUGUGUGACGUGGCGAGUGUAAGCCAACUAUGUACAUUUUCCCCUUUUAUCUAUUUACAUGGGUUGUUGUGAAGAUUACCUUACUUGCGACAUUGCUUUCAAUGCGAUUAUGCCUCUAAGUCGUGCUUCGACACGUAGGAGAUAUAGCCGCAUCGAGGGCGUUACAAUGAACCCUUCAGCACUUCUUCGGCACGAUGCACAGAGGAAUGUGGAAGUUAUUUUUCGGGACACGAAAAUAGUGGCCGGACACUACCGAGGACAUCGGCCUUGACUGCAACCAUCCGGAUACCUUGGUAAGCGCUUGACUCCCGAACACAGCUUAACCAAAUAUCCCGUGAUAAGAUACUGAGAAAACCAUCUUUUUCCAGGGCUGGACGAAGAAGGCGGAGCGAGUUAGGUGUUCGCCCCCUCUUCCCGAAGACUUAGCUAGUCCUGUGCUAACAAGGAUGCUGGUCCCGGCACCAUUCCAGGUGCCGGUGAAGGAGGACAAUGAGGAGAGCAGGAAGGCCAAAGGUGGCCUCCAUUCUGAAGGUACACCAAACACUAUGUCCGGGGAGAUUAAAGUUCCCUUUUCCGAAGAUAAAAGAGAAGGAGAAGCUGACAUCCUUUCUCACCAUGGUAAGAAAAGGGCCGCCUCCGAAGGUUGGGAGGUAAAGGCUCCUAAGAAGGUAAAACACUCCUAUCAGGCGGUUCGGCCUCGGAAGACGACGUUGUCGCACACUUCAUCCGUAAGGACGAGCCUUUAGCCGAAUCGUAAGUGAACAAGGGUGUUUUUAAACAUAUCCUGUUCCUUUUCCUGUUACAAGGGCAACAUCUAGAAUACAUGUUUUUGUAGUCCGGCACACAGUCUUCCUCAACAAUCCUCUUCGGGGGAUCUUCUUCCAGAGAUGAUGGAAAGCGAGACGCCUCCACCAGAUUCCUCGCCCAAUAGGGCGGACGACUUCGAGGUGCCGUCCCGGAGGAUCUCUCUCGAUCAACAAGUGGUGCAGAGGAUAAUGAAGACAACGCCCCAAGGUGAAACUUCGGUCGCCCAGGGUUCGGGGAGUGUGGUCCCUAUGGGUACCAACAAUAAAGGCCCCGGACUAUCUGGUUUACAGCCGGAGAUGACUCUAGGGUCGGGGAAACAUAUCCCUUCAAAGGGAGUCCAUACUCCCACAGCUACUUCCCAGGGUCCAGAGGCGCCAUUUACAUUGAUGGACAUGUUGCGAUAUUCAUCUGUCUCAGAGAAACAUCAUACCUAGAUGGGUACGGUGGUUGAGAGGAUUAUGUCCGCAAAAAGCGGAUUGAAUGAAGCUUUCACAGGCCUGCUAAGAGGCUUCGAGGUACGUAAUGUAAUAUUUUCAAUUGUGCUCUAUACGCAAAGUGCCCCUGUGUAUAGAUAGUAGCCCCUGAGACUCUAGUUGACGUCCCAAGGGAGGCAAUCAGAGGAUUGAAAAAACUAUCCCAAGAAAUAAUAUAAUUAAUUAGAACACAGGCUAUUACAUCCACUCGACUGCCCACGCUACAGAGGUUGCAGGUCUGGAGCAGAAACUUGCCGUGGCGAAUGACGACAUGAUGCUUAUUAACAGGUGGCUUGAUGAGGCGCAAGGUAUGUUUUCAGGCGGUCAGUGUAUGUAUGUAUGAUAACAUGAGCACGAAGCUAAGAAUUAUAUACUGAGACAUGCAUAACUGCAGAUAGUGCUGCCACGGCGGAGGCCCUUCGGGCUAAAGUUGCCCGAGCCAAGGAGCAAGCCCGGAUGAGUAAUGUGGCUGCCAAGAAGGCAGUUGAUGAGUUAAAAGCCGAACAGGCUGCUCGGCGCCAGUGCAAGGAGAUAAUGUCUAACAUGGCUCGCGAGCUAAAGGAAGCCAUUGUCCGGUGCAAGUUCCUCAAGAGGGAUAACAAAGCCAAAACGGCCAAUCUCGACACGCUUUGCAUGAGGCGAGUGAAGCACGAUCCGAGUCUAGGGCGGCUCGGGAGGAGAUCCGGCGAGCUGGGGAGAUAGCGGCCGGUAAGCCCUUCUUAUUACAGACUAAAUUCGGCGAUCCAAAAUAUGCCCCACUUAAUCAAAUGUGGAGCUCUCCAGAUGCAUUCUUGGACUUGCCGAAGAGCGCCUACGAUGCAGCGCAAUUUUACCAAGCGCGAGAAGGGUAUCCAACGGAGAAUCUUUUCUGGACACAAUUCGGCACGCCAAAGCGCCCGCUGUUGCUGAACGAACAGAUGGCCCAGUGGGCCGAGCUCCACAAGAUAUCUGGUUCUACCAUGAAGGACGUAGUGGUCCGGCUGUGGCUGACUGAGCCAAUUCCGAAUAGUUAUUUCUGUUUGGUGCAACGACUUAUGGAUGUGGUGUCGCGUAUCGACGCCGUGAAGCGACCGACGUGCAUUGAAAGUGCACGGAUGGCCUUUGCCCGUGUCAAGACAUAUUGGGCGAAGAUGAAGGCCACUGAUAUUGCAGCGAAGAGUCCACCCGGGGGCAAGGACAAACACACGCCGGAGCAUUAUUUUGAAGAUGUCCUAGAGGGCGCCCGCUUAAUAGAGGUUUAGUGCUCAAAGGAUAUGAUCUUCGGGUGAAUGUGCUGAAAUUGUAGAAACGAUAUUAUGAUAUUUUAAGGGUAUGCCUAAAAGUUUUGGCUCCUCCUGUGUGGCCGUUUUUGUAUAAUCUAAAAGUUUUCCAGUCGUCGGCUUCAGCCCCCUCGCAUAAAAUACGGGGGUGUUCAGAAAAGGACUUGAUCACUCUUGACCCAACAUCUUGGUCCAUGAAGGAGGUGUCAAUGCGGUGAACAAGGCAAUCAGACUAUUGGGCUUUAACACUUUCACUUAGCCAUAGGAGUUUUACGGUGGGUCUACGAUAUAGCCCCUGGUAUGGACGCAGCUAUCCGAAUACAGUGUGUUACAUAGGUGACUGGAGUAAUGGUACUUCGUGUAAUAUGGGAGGAAUCGUGAAAGAUUAUGAUAAGUCAUCGAGUGGUUGACCAACUCUCGCCGCAUCAUGACAGUCAAUUUUCGGCUUUCUCUAGUAAGGUGCUCAUCUGGAUAAACCAGGACACAAUCACAGUAGUUCUCCCUUUACUACCCUAGCCGAUAGAGUGGAACGUAAGGUAGUAAGCACAGGAGAAGGGCAACCAAACUAUUGACCAAAGACAUGAUUCGGAGCUAAUCCAUAUAAGGUCGAACUCGUGACGCCGAAGUGUGCUAUAAAGCUGUUCAUACUUGCCGGCAAUUUAUUUGUUCCCAUAUUGAGCCCCUGGCAAUUUGUGUCGAGGUGCGUGUGUGAAACAACCGAAGAAGCAAAAUUCAGUUAUUUCAGAAAAAGGGAAUACUGAAUACGGAUUAUGUUCACUGGAACGUGAUUGAUAUGUCAAUUGCCAUUUUACAGAUAAUAACGCCAUGACCCAGGCUAUUUGACAUGCCGGUGGUCGAAGGCUGAGGGAGAAGGCACUUUACAGGCUCUAAAUAGAGAAUGCGGUCUACUAAGAAUUACUUGGACCUCCUGUCGCACGUCUGCGCCGCCUUGCCUCGGUGAAAGGACUCCUUAACAGGAAUAGCCUUUGGGUAGGUGAACAAAGCCGAACUCCAAAAGGGUUCGUGAGAUGACCAGUCUUUGAGCCACCUGUGGUAAAAGAUAAAAAAAUAGUUAGAAAAGAAAAGAAAAGGAAGCUAUGGGAGAGCUUGUAGGCAUGUCCAUAUUGUGCAUUUGCCGAUGACCAGGGUAUUCUAAGUACAUCAUUAUGUAAGCGCGGUACGAACUUCGCGGGUAUAUGAGGCGAACGACGGAGGCCGAACUGCUAAUCCAGCUCUAAGAUUGAUCAACCCCAUUUAAUAGAGGCCGGCGGCUUAAUGGUCGAUGAGAUAUGUGGCUUGAUGAGGCCGCUUGGUACUUCGGCUGUGGUAGCCGUAGUAUGACCCUCCGUAUGGAGGGAGUGUUCCGUAUUUCCAUUUAUUGUUAUGACGCCCCGUGACCGGGCAUCUUAAGUUUUGCACGGGCGUAGAGUGGGACCACAUUAAAAUGAGCAAAAGCGGUACGCCCCAGAAGUGCAUGGUAGCUACUGCGGAACGGGACAAUAUCAAAGGUCAAGCCUUCACUUCGGAAGUUGUUCGGCGAACCUAAAAUGACUUCCAAUGUGACGGAGCCCCUACAGUGAGCUUCUACGCCGAGUACUGCUCCCUUGGGGGUGGUUGUGGUGGGCUUGAUUCUUGAAGGAUCGAUGCCCAUUUUGCGGAUAGUGUCUUGGUAGAGUGGAUUAAGGCUACUGCCGCCAUCCGUAAGGACUUUUGUGAGAUGGAACCCAUCGAUAAUUGGAUCAAUGAUCAGAGCCACCGAACCAUCGGGACGGAUAUGGCAAAAAAAUUGGCAGGGGGGGACGACUCUAUGGCGUAUGCGUCCCAUAGUGCGUGCCUGCGCUCCCCUCUAGGGGUGUGCGUCACGUAUACCAUGUUUAUGGUUUUUACUUCGGGGGGAAAUUGUUUCUGACCCCCGUAUUCGGCUGGCGAGUCUCUUCGUCAUCGCUGUCACUGGGUGGCCCUUCCCCUUGUGUUCAGCAUUAAGCUUGCCAGCUUGUUUGAAGACCCAACAACUUCUGUUGGUGUGAGUAGCUGGUUUAUCGGGGUUGCCAUGAAUCUGGCAGGGCCGAUCUAGUAUUAUGUCUAAAUUGGAUGGUCAGUCUCUAUUUGCCUUGAAUGGCUUUUUCCAUUGACCGGGUUUGGAGCCGCUGAAUCCGGAGUUGACCGCCAUGUCUUGUGUUCUUUCGUUAUGAUUGCGACGUUUGUGUUUAUUGCGUCGUGGCUUGCCGUCGCCGUCUCGGACUUUGGAAGUGCCUGGAUCGCUGGCACUGUUGCUUCUACGAGCGAGCCAGCUAUCUUCUCCCACGCAAAAGCGGGUAAUUGGAGCGGUAAGGGCUGCCAUGGAUUUUUGUUUUUCUUGACCGAGGUGGCGCGCGAACCACUCAUCCCGGACGCUGUGUUUGAAGGCCACGAGGGUUUUUGCGUCCGGACAAUCGACAAUUUGGUUCUUUUUAAUUAGGAAUUUAGUUCAGAGCUUCCUGGAUGAUUCUCCGGGAUGUUGGAUGAUGUGACUUAAGUCAUCGGCAUCUGGUGGCCGGGCAUAUGUACCUUGGAAAUUAUGCGAAAGGCGUCUUCCAGGUCUUCCCAACUGCCAAUGAAGUUCUCUGGGAGACUGUUUAGCCAGUGCCGCGCUGGUCCCUUUAGUUUUAAUGGGAGGUAUUUUAUGGCAUGGAGAUCAUCACCGCGGGCCAUGUGGAUAUGGAGAAGAAAAUCUUCAAUCCAUGCUGCCGGAUCUGUUGUUCCAUCGUAUGAUUCGAUAUUCAUGAAUUUAAACCCUUCUGGGAAUUCGUGCUCCAUUACUUCAUCAGUGAAGCAAAGAGGGUGUGUGGCGCCUCUAUAUUGGGCCACAUCACGACAUAGCUCAAAUGGAGUCUGUCUGCGGCCUUUGGCUCGUGCAUGAUUAGGCUUGUCACGUCCGAAUAGAUAGUCGUCACCGCGUGUCGGGGCACACCCCCGCGAUCCGUAGAUCGGUCUGGUAUGUCCUGCUCUACUGUCCAGGUUCUGCCGAAGGUCAUAUGUAUAUGCCCGAGCUGUUUUAUCCCUGCCUUUAUAGUGAGGUAGUACGGGCUGGUAUUCGGCUUGAGUUGCCGCUUUGUCCCGGCCACGUGGUGGUCGGUCAGCCGCAUUGUGCGAUGAUGGCACGGGCUCCAGCCCUCGUCAUCGAAUUGAGGUAAUAAUUUGCACUUCGGGUAACUUUUGAGUGGUCCCUCGGGGCUGUAUUCCUCGGCUGUUAGGACAUUAGUCCAUCUAUCACUGAGCAGAUCUUGAUCAGCUUGAAGCUGCUGUUGCUUCUUUUUCAGGCUCCUUGUAGUGGCUAUUAGCUGGUGCUCAAAGCGCUCCUGUUCAAGAGGUCCCUCAGGCACGAUAAAGUCCUUGUCGUGGAAUUGUCACGACAGAUGUCCUAGUGAAAGGACUUAGUGGAGCCAUCGCAGCUACGAAGAUUAAAGGGGUUAAACAGGACAAAGGACACGAGAAGUUUAUGCUGGUUCGGCCCCUUGCGGUGAAGGUAAAGGCCUAGUCCAGUUGAGGUGAUAUUGCUAUGUUUCGAUGACCAAGGAGCGAAUACGCUUAACCUGGCUCUCGAUCUGUUGUUUCUUACCCUAAGCCGCCGCCUGGUCGACCCCUCAUAUACACGGGUUGACACCCUGUGGCCUACAGAGUCUCGGCCGGCUCAUACAACGUGUCCGGCUCGGUGACGUAUCUUACAUGCCUUACAUUACAAGUCUAUUCAUACAUGGCGGUUUAUACUUACGGGCCCUAAGCCGCCCCUAGGCCUGGGCCUAUCAUAAGCCUAACUGUGAACCGCCACCUUGUAUACUCUUGGGCUUCAUACAGGUGAACCCUCAUUGUGGUUGACCCGGCGCCUUCUGGGCGGGUCAUAUCUGAUAGAAAUAUCCCCAACAUUAGGCCCCAGGUUGAUUUGAACUUUGUUCAUGUCAAUCUUCAAUACUUAGAAAAAAUCCAUCUACAACUGCUAUGAAAACCUUGUAACCCGCCAUGACGUCAUCUCCAAGAAUUUUGGAAACCCACCAUGACAUCAUCUUAACGGAUCUUUGUCUUAAAUAUCUUUCCGAAAAUCAAGGCGUCCAAUUAGAUGGAUAAUCAUCAUUUUUGCCUCCUCGUCUUUCGCGCCUGCCCAUCGCCCCUUUCCUUAUAACUAGGAUCCGAAGCCAUCUCACAUUUUUCUCCUUCUUCCUUCUCUCGCAACCCCUCUGCCGCUCGAGCUCCACCGCCGCCGCGGAGCACUUCGUCUUCCUCAACCUCGGUCACUGCAUCAGCCUGAGUCGAUCGAGAUAACGACGGCGACCCUCCACAGCAGAUCGAUAGUUGUAAGUUUCUGCCUUUUCAUGCCUUAGAUCCACACUAGGGUUUGCGAGCUUCUUCGUGUUCUUCGUAGUUUGUCGGAGUUCGUCGUAGUUCACCCUCCAGGCCAUACCACGAGCCUCUUUGAUCUGAGAACGGCGUUAAACUGAUGUGGUAGCUAUUUUAGUUCCACUUUCAGUAUCACUAGAUCCCCUUUCUUGGAAGAAAAAAUCUUGUGCAAGCUCAUGAACUCAUAUGUACUGACUUUUAGGUCUAGAUUUAUUUUUCUUUUCUGAACAGCCAUUGAUCCAAAAUAAUAGCUGCAGUCUAUGAAAUUUGUUUACCUCAGUACUUAACCAAUUUUUUGUUGCUAGCAACUUUUGAAUAUCCUUAGUCAUGGCGGCUUACCAUGUCGGCUUAUUUUUCCUACAUAUAUCAUUAGCCCUUAGUUAAGCCGCCAUUACACAUAUGUAUUGCAAUCAUUAACUUCUAAUUCCACCAAUUAAUCUGAACCGGCAAAUUACUUCCUUUUUAGCUUGUCUUUUCGCCAUGCCGCCAAAGACGAUGAUAGGUUGCAACUGGGUCCCUUCCACAGUCGGUGAGGACACUCUGAAGGAUUUUUUCACUGUUGGGUAUUUACCAAAGAAGAGCGUCAUGUCUUACCGUGCCCCUGACCCAGUUGAAGAAAAACCUCAGCCAAAGGAUGGUGAAAUCAUCGUCUUCACUGAUCAAAUGAACUGGGGUUUUUCGCCGCCCGGCUCAAAAUUCUUCAGAGAGGUUCUGCAUUUUUUCAAGCUUCAUCCGCAAGACUUUGGAACCAAUUCCAUAUCAAACAUAUGUAACUUCCAAGUUCUCUGCGAGGUUUAUCUUCAAGAAGAACCUACUAUUGAACUCUUCAAAGAGUAUUUCUAUUUGAACCGCCAGAAUGAAUACACCAACGGCCCCAACUUGGAACUUGGUGGGAUUUCGAUUCAGCGCAGAUGGGAUGUUGUCUUUCCUCUAGUAGUAUUGCCAAGCCAUCCCAAGUAUUGGAACCAAACUUGGUUCUAUUGCAAAGACACGUCGCCAGUUGAUGAAAAACCAAUGUUGGGUUAUCGUGCUGAGCUUAUUGACGCUAAAUAUUCACUCCCUGAUAAGCUUUCGGGUGCUGAAAAUAAGAAACUUAUCCCAACCAUCAAAAGGGUUCAAGCCUUGCUAGGAAAUGGCUUAACUAGAGUUGACUUGUGUCGGAUGUGGGGUUCCAGCAAACCCUUAAGGUUCGAACACUGGGGUGCGCACGAAGUCUCUUCCUCCCACCGAUCUACGCCCUAGCUCGCUAAGAUCUCGUGGACGAACUCGACGAACUCGCAACACAGGAAGACACAGGAUUUAUACUGGUUCAGGCCACCGUUGUGGUGUAACACCCUACUCCAGUGUGGUGGUGGUGGAUUGCCUCUUGGGCUGAUGAUGAACAAUACAAGGGGAAGAACAGCCUCCUGAGGUUGAGGUGUUCUUGUGCGUGGCUAACUUGUGUGGGUGAGAGAGCGAUCUAAGAUGCCGACCCCCCGCCCCCGAUGGUGGCCAGUCCUACUUCUAGAGGCCCUGAUCCUCUUCCCAAAUAUUGAACGGGAAGGGAGCCAACAACGGCGGGCUAAUUUGAAGGGGGCAGCUAGUACAAGCCAUCUAACAAAAGGUGGUCUGCGCCUGCGAAAGGCUCUGGUGGUGACGCCGUCUUGGGCUCCACGAUGACCUCCGUCUUGCCGUCCUUCUGGUCUUUGUCUUGUUGCACCAAAAUGGCAACAUUUGCCUGAUGCCUCGGUACUCCUCGCCUGCGCUAGUUUCCUUAGCACCAAAGAGGAAACAAGGACGCUGCGCGCGCUGGCGCCCGCCUGGUGUCGAUCGUCAUGGCUCAUGUCACGAGAGCCUCCUGAGGUUCGCCUCGCCUUGAUAUAUCCGCUCCUCGUGAGCCCGCCUGACUAGGCCGCUCCAGAGGAGGUCUCGUGUCGUCCUCCUCACGAGGCUUGGCCCCUCACGAGGGUCUUGGAUGCCUUGUUGGUGAAGAUGGGCCGUACGGCCUGCUGGCUCAGCCACGCCGCGGGCCGCAGGCAGGCAAGUCUGGGGACCCCCUUUCCCAGGACGCCGACAGUAGCCCCCGGGCCCAAGGUGCGCUCGGGCUUGGCUUCGCGGCGAAGCCAAGGGCCAAGUAUGGAGUGCCGCGGGCCCCAAAAGCCUGCGGCCUCGAUUGACGCGUGGUAGUUGAUUGGACGUGGGCGUCUCCGCUUCCCCACGCUGCCCUUGAAUCCGCCUGGCUAUGCGGCCCCGCCUCUUACACAGUUAUUCGUCCUUCGCCAUGCCCGGCUCUUCCAAUCUCCCUGCUUCCUCGACGCCCUGCUCCGCCUUCUCAAUCCGACCUGUGCUCCGCCCACUUCACCGCCAUGGCGCCGAAACAAGCCGAAAAGGGGAAGAAACCUCUGUCCUCACCAACUGCGCCUCCAUCCUUCGAGUCGGCGCUCGGCUGGCCUCGGGUGCUCGACGACGAGGCCAUGGACAAGGUGCGCCCCAUGCUUGCUUCCAGUUUCAACGAGUGGGGAGAGACGCCAGCUUGGCCGCGUCUCGCACCAGCAUGGCUCAUGCAGUUACCGAGGUUCCGAUCUUCAUUGAUGCCCUCUGGGCUAGCCUGAUUCCUCCCUUCUCUGCCUUCUUCAACGCGGUGCUCGAGCACUAUCAGAUCCACAUGCUCCAUCUCCAUCCUCAGGCUGUGACCCUUCUCGUCGUCUUCUCCUUCGUGUGCGAGGUCAUGGUGGGCAUCGCCCCCUUCGUGGCACUCCUCCGCCACUUCUUCUCGUUGCAUGUCACCGGUCCCCGGCAGAGCUCAGGGUGCAUGGGUUUCCAGGCCGUGGCUGCGACGGCAGGCGCGGGGAUCGACUUCGAGCUCCCUUCAUCGACGAGCGAGUUCCGUACGCGAUGGGUGUUUGUUGACGCAGGCGUGCUCAACCCUCUGCUCCAAGCUCCGGUGGGGCCUACUAUUCCAAACUCUGGCUGGGGUCAUCAGAAGCUCACGAGCCCCUGCCUUGCCCCCGUCUGGGCCAGGCUGAGGUGGUUGAAGGACCUUGGCGUGACUGAGCCGAUGGUGGUGAAGGAGUUCGUCAGGCGUCGAGUUGCUCCACUCCAGCGCCACUCUCGCCCGAUGUGGGAAUUGCUCAGCAGACAGGACAACAUGAGGUUUCAGGAGGAGGGGCUUCCUCUUGCUACGCGGCAGACAGUGCUCACGGUCCUAUCAGGUGUCCCUCUGCCGGAUGAGAUGCCCAGGAACAGCUGCAUGUUGUACAGCUGCAAGAACAAAGUCACAUUUGCCGCGAACAUGCCUUCCGUUGAUGAGUGGGGGCUGCACCCAAUCAACUUGGUGGGGCCCUGCGAGAACCCCGUCAUCGUGGUCCCCUUCUUCGCCGUCGGUGCCGGGCUCGCCCCAGGUGACGGUGCGGGGGAGCGAGCUGCGACGGGGGCCGGCGGCUUAGGUGCUGAGGAGCACAUGCCGGGUGGUGAUCCGGGGGCGUCGUCCUUGGGGGCCUGCGACCCCCCUCUUGAGGCGUCGGUUGCCGAGGAGAUGUGGCAUGCGGCUCCCGAGGCUCAGGCUCCAGGAGCCUCUGGAGGUCACAGUGGGAAGGAGUUGGGCUGUUCGCCACAGCUGGGCUCCCCUGAGGCCAUCCCUCUUGGUUCUUCUUCAGCUCCACCGCGCACCGGCCGUCACGUCCAACGCUUUGGUCGCCUUUGUGUGGACUUCGAGGAGCUCCACAAGAGGAAGGGAUCCCCCAGCGGCAGCAACAUCUUUGGGCCGUUGAAGCUACGGAAGUACAUCGCUAUUGACGCGUAAGUAUCUUGUCGCCGUGGCUUUUUGCGUGUGGUCUUCUUAUCGUGACGCCUGUCCUCCAGGGGCUCCUUUUGCUGAAGCUGUUGCGUCUUCCGAGAGGCGGUCUCGUCCUUUAUCAACUCCUCCGUCGGCAUUGAGCGUUCCCGGCAUGCCUGCCGCCCCUGGAGUAGGGUCAGUUGGAGGAGCGUGUAACAGCCUGGAUUUUGGCCCUUUCCUUUUUCUUUUGAUUUAAUUGGUGUUCCCUCUAUUUUUAUUUUUGGAGUGGUUCUGUGACCUUGUCACCUGGGAAAUCAUCUUCAUUUGCCCUCCCAAGUGGCUCAUCAUCCUAAAAACUUUGCCAAGAUCUUGUCACUCCACUGCUUGACCAAACCCUAAUUUCUUUUCUAGGGAAAAUUCUUUUUUCUAUUAAAGGAAUAACCCUAUAUGCCCUAGGUGGUGAAGCAACCUAUAUUUCUGUCCGUCCAAAAAUCCCCAAAUAAUUCUUAUAAAUUUUUUGGGUCAUAUCUUCAUCAAAUAUGGCAAAAUAUUUCAUUGGCCAUAUUUUACAUCAUGCUCAAUAAAUUCAUUUCCUAUUAUGUCCUAAAUAGCACAUUGUGAAGCAAGUGCUAUUUAUAUUUGUCCAUUUGCCCCCAAGCUUUUUGUGCAUGGUAUAUCAUCCAAAUAAUUUCCCUGUGCCAAAAUUUAACUUUACUUGCCUAGCCAAACUUCCUUAGUGAUUUUUUCAAAGUUCCUGUCUGAGGGAAGCCUUUGUGAAGCAAGUUCUAGCUAGGGUUAUCCAAAUGAGCUGAAAUUUUGCACACUCCUUCGUGUGCUCAUAUAAUUAGCCUCCUCCAAAUUUCAGCUCCAUCCCUGGACCUAUGUGAGAACAACAUGAAAUAUUUGAUUCUAUCAAUAUUUUCAGGUUGUGAAGCAAGUAUAUUGUAUAUUGCUUCAUUUUACCUGAAAAUUUACCAGAACAUUCUCCUACCCAAAUAACUUGUCUCCACCAAAUUUGGCAUCAAUUCAUAAAGCAAAUAUUUCUCUAGAAUUCUUGCAAGUUUCUGGUCAGCAAGGAUGUUUGUGAAGCAAGUACCAUUUUGGUAAAACCAAUUGAUAUGAAAUUUUUACAGCACCUUUAUCUGGCCAAGUCACUAAGCCCUGCCAAGUUUUACCUCAAGUGGUUACUCCAUGUGAGUGCAUCAUCCAAAUAUUGAUUCUGGACACAUAAUGUGAGUUACAAAGCAACUAUGUUAGUUUGUGCUCCAUUAUGCCUCAAAACUUCCAGGAUCAUAGUCCUUCCUUAGUUAAUCACCCCAGACAAACUCUUCGGCGCCAGUAAAAUCCCUGUUGGUCACCAGUGUUCACCAAAGUUUACUGCAGUAAACUUCAGAGGGUGAUUUCUAGUUAACCAUAUCACUUUCAACCGAGCUACCACCGCGGUUGUAACCUACCCUGGAUGAACUACCCACUAGACAACAUGGUCAAGCCCCUCUCCCUGCUACUAGCCAAUGCACGCGGUGACCGCAUUAAUGGCACCACAGUGCACGCGCUCUGUGUGCAGUGGCCGCGUCCACUGGCCGUUUGUGCGUCGGCAGCUCCUCCCCUCGUCGAAUUCGCGCGCGUGAGCAUGUCCAAGAGUUUUACCGCGUCGUCGCCAUUCUCCUGGACCUCUCUCCCUCUCAAUAAAACCCCUCACCGACGCUCACCGCCGAACGACCACGAGAGCACAGUGCCCCAACAUGUUUUAAUGGCGCUUGGCUUCUUCCUCUGCUUCUCCUUUGGCCUCCUCUUCCGCAUGAGAAUUCUCCCUGUGCCUCCAUUGUCACCUACCUCCGAGCUCACGAGCGUUGGCACGCGUUCACGGCGAUGCCAGCUCAACCGCCCUCGCCCUGCCUAUAUAAGGCCACCCCGUCUCCGUUUCUCCUCACCACUGGCCUCCCCCGCACCCUAGAAGCCUCCCCGAGCACUCCCUCGAGCUCGAGCGCCUCCCUUCCCUUCCCCAUGGCUGCCAUGCCCGCCUUGGCUCGGCCUAAAUUCUCUCAACGCCGAGCUCCUACCUCCCUAUCUACACCACCAGAGACCUCCAUCCUCCCGGAGCCACCCCAGCACCUCUCCCCAUCCUCCCGUGGUCGUUUGCAGCGCACUCCCCGGAGGCCGAAGCUCUCCUCCGCCGCGGCUCCCCGUUCCACCUACUCCGCUGCUCUCCAACGUGGGCAAACUCAUCAGGCGGGUGCGGCUCCUCGCGCUAGUCACUCCGGUGGUUCGAGCUCCAUCGGAGGUGGCCGGGGCUGACCGGGCGAGCGCCGGCACCGGCGGUCCUCCUCUGUGCAGCGGGUGCGCAUCGGGGGAGAAGAAGGAGAAGGCCAGGAGGAGAGAGAUGUCGCGCUGGACCCACACAUCAGCGACACAAGGCCCAGCCCCGCCCCCUCGCUGACGUGGAUAAGGGGACGCGGGAUUUGCCCGUGUGCGCUUUCCCCUUAUGAAAGCGUACUUUGUUCUUCUUCGGGCCAAAAAUACGUUUUCCGCUCUGGAAAAUGUAUUUCCUGAGAAGACGCAUUUUGUUUUUCUGUCCAGGCCCGGUUUGUAAAGAUUUUUCUUACAGAUGGGUCCCUGGCAGAAAAACCCUUAUAUCUUUUUGCUCCUAACUCCAAAUGAGGUGAUUCCAAAGCCCACUUCUUUGUUUCGUCGAGCCCGUUUCGAUGGAAUCAUUUUUAGCAUUUUUUGACAUUCUGAAAAUGACCAUUUUGCCCCUGCCUUAUUCAGCCCCCUCCAAGAGAGCAUGUUUUUCGGCGAUUCUUUCCGCGAGCUUCUCGCACUUGUUCUCGGUGAUUUCUUCCACCCGAGGCAAGCCACACCCUCCAUUUGCAUGAUUGCAAUGCAGUGGCAUGGUUUAUUCAGUUGAACUUGAUUAAAAUAUUGCAUUAGCUAUGUAUGCUUUGUUCAUGGCAUUUCUCGGAGUAUGGUUUUGAUCUAGAUGUUGCCAUGAUAUUGGUUGGAGUUCUAGGACUUAUAUUUUGAUGAUUAUGUGGAUGACAUGUUGCCUUUGGAUUCUUAAUGGCUAUUAUGAUUAUGUCCGUGAUGAUAUUAUGCUUUGGAGUAUUACUUUGGAUAUCAUGUUGCCUUCGGAUUAUUAGUGGCUUUUAUGAAUAUUUUUCAUGAUGAUAUCUGGUAUUAUUUUGGAGUAUUACUUUGGAUAUCAUGUUACCUUUGGAUUAUUAGUCGCUAGUAUUAGUUUCAUCAUGAUGCUAGAUGAUAUUAUGUUUUGGAGUAUGAUGAUGGAAAUGAUGCUUGCAUGUGGAUCAUAGUUGGAUAAUUAGUUCUUGAUAUUUGGGUAGUAGUCUUAUCGCUCUUGGAUUCAUCAUGAUAGUAAUGAUAGACUGUCCUCGGAGUAUUUUGAUAUGAUGAUAUUAAGCUUUGGAUAAAUUGUUGGAUAGUGCCAUGACUUGGGUUAUAGGUUGAUAGAUGAUAUCGGAGUAUCAGUCCUUACUAUUAUAUUUUGGGGAUAAAUUCCGUCAUUAAGUUGGUCAGGUGCCACCGAACCGGGCUUUUCUAGUGCAACCACAUUUGCCUUUAUGGGAAGGCCCUAAUGCGGUCUAUUGUCGUGCCUCUCACUGGUGCCUCCAACUAGGGAAAGUUAUGGGCGCGCACUACCCUGAUCAGGUAGGCAAACAUAGGCCUUGUGUGCCCGUUGUUGUUGUUAUGUGCACCAUCCCCUAGGGACAUUUUGGCCACAACGGUGGUCGUUGUGUCUUUGGUAGACACGGGGCCACCCAGGACUAGCUCAGUUGGGAGUGGGUCGGAGUGGCCGGGAGAGUGUCAUGGCAGUAGAUCGGUUUUGUCGGAACGCCAUUGGUCCACCCCGAAUGGGAGUGCGAGGCCAUGGGUUCCGUGGUGUGGGUAUAGUGCGCUACCUCUGCAGAGUGUGUAUCUAAAUCUAUCGGUAGCCGCGUCCUCGGUCAUGGGCAUGGGUUCGUACUAGGUCACACCAUUCGUUCAACACACACAUGACGGAAUGACUUAUAGGUGAUAUAUUUAUAUGUUGAUAUGUUGAGCAGUAUAGAUUGGCAGGAUGUUGAUGAUGAUGUUGGAGACCAAGUGUUGGUCAUGGUAGUGAUCGUCGGAAGGAUAACGGUUGAGACCAAGUGUUGGUCGUGGUAGUAAUCACCGAAAUGAUCACCGUUUGGUUUGGAUCACGUGGUGAUCGAGAUGGUAUAUUGCUUGGUCGGUUAGCCAAGAGAUAAAUGGUUAUGGGGAUCUGAGAUGGUGAUUUAUCAGUAUUGUAUCAGUUUCAUACCAUGUUUAGUAGUUGUUUCAUCAUAAUAGUUGUUAAUUUAACUAACAUGUUAAAUGCUAUGCUAUUGUCUUGCCUUGAUGUUAUGGUUGUUGUGAGCUUGCAAGUACAUUCAAUGUACUGACCUGGCGUGUCAUGCCAGAUUGCAGUUGAUGCCAUGAUUUCUUGAUUGCUUGUCGAUGGUUGCUGUGCGUGCGAGCUAUAUCGUGUCCCAGCCAGAGUCCCUGCGGAGUGGAGUUCACCACCUUCGUCGUUGUUUCACUGCUAGAAGUAUUCCGCUGCUACGAGUUGUUUCGCUGCUAGCAUCGAGCAAGUGUAGUAUCGCAUGCGUAGUGUCGCCGUGCUGAUGUGCUUCUUUGUAACAUCAGACCCUUGUAUUAUUAUUCUUGUAAUAAGAGCUGAUUUGUUCUAUGUCAAGCAGUGUCGUAUUCCAGAGACUUCUCCUCGAUCUCUGGACUGGAAUACGGGGCAUUCCAAUUUCUCUGAGCUGGGGUGCCAUAGAGUGUCCCCGCCUUCGGGACGUGCUGAGUCCGCGGUUUGGCCACCCCUCGCCCACGGUCUGGCGUGGAGCUUGGCGGGCAUGCCGAAGACUCCUACUCUGCUCAUGAGAAGUCGCUGGCUGACCUCGGUCUUCGGUUCCUCUUCAAGCAGCGAGCCUCGAUCAGCUUGGGCUCCUCGCGAGGAUGGGCUGACGUCAGGCACGGCGCCAGCCCCCAGCCCCCAACCGGGAGGUGGCGCGCCACUUGAUGCUCUACCCGAAGCCCAUGGAGGACGAGGCCAGUCAAGCGUUCGAGCUCGAGCGCGGGCGCAGCGUAGUCCGUAACGAGCUCUUCUAGGAGGCGAUGGGCGCGAUGAGCCACCUCGGUGAAGAGCUUGCUGGUGUCGACUCGCAUCUUGAGGCUGAAGGUCUUCGGUUGGUGGAGGAGCGGCGCAAGCUGCAGGUGGCCAUCAACCUUGGUCGCUAUCAGCACGACCUCGAGAAUGCGAAGGCCGAGGCAUCCCUCAAGAUUGCCAAUGAGGCCCACUCGCAAGCUUUGGAAGAAGCUCGUGAGGCCGAUCGCCGCUGCGAGGCUGCGGAGGAGCGCGCGUGGGGGCUUCAGGCCUGGAGCGUGUCCCUUGAGUAGCAGGUGGAGGCGCGCGGGGCCUCUCUUGCAUUGCUGAGGGGGGAUGCCUGCGGAGGAAGAGGAGGUCCGGCAGCGCGAGGAGACGCUGGCCCUGGAAGCCGUGGAGCGCAGCCUCGAGCUCGAGCGACUGGAGACAAGGGAGCGUCAAGUCGCUCAAGCAGAAGAUGUCGUAGGGGCCCGCGAAGCCGGAGUCGAGGAGGAGAUCGAUCGCAGGGUGGCCGAGGUUCGCGCCGAUCUGGAGGGCAGGUACGACUUGAAGCUAAAGCUCGCUGGUCUGGAGGGUGCGGGCAGGGCUGCCGCCCUCAGGCCCAGGUUGGAUGAGGCCGAGAGGCGUGCGAAGGCCACAGCAGCUGCCCUAGUUACGGUGCUGGCGGACUUGGCCUCCGCCCAUGCCGAGCUGCUUUCCCUCCGGAAAUGAGUUCACGAUGCCAAGGCCGUCGCAUGGCAAAACAGGGAGGAAGUGCUCCAACGCCGAACGCUGGAGCGCAAGCAUGCUCCUAUGCUUCAAGACCUCUGGAACAAGGCCAACACCGCCCUGGGUUACAUCUGCAACGAGAACAUCCCGGCCCCUCACUCGAAUGACUACGCCAGCCACCUGAUCUUCUUCACGGAGGUGGUGACGUGCCUGGAGGCUCAAUCUACCAGAGCUCGACAGCUUGUGGAGGAGAGGGGUCAUGUCCUGCUUCAGCGCGCCUUCCCCCGUGUCUUCAGCCACCUUCUGAACACCGACCCCAACUUUGACUUCGAUGCCACCAUUGCCCCCGUACCCACGGCCGUCAGGGGCGACCUAGCGCGUUGGGUAGAGGACCAUGUUGACGCAUUGGUCAGGGCCUUCACCUCGGAGGAUGACGCGGUGGUGGUCGUUACAGACGAAGGUGACGUAGUCAACGACAGUGAUGGGGGCGUCGCCGACGGCAGCGGCGAUACCGACAAAGAUGACGACGACGCGAGUAACGUGUCCGCGGGUGAUGUAGCGAGUGAUAUCUCUGGCUGAUCCCAUGUUCGCCCGUUGUUUCAUCCUGCAUGCAAAACUCGGGCGUGGCCCUUGGAAGACUUUGUAAGAGCAUUUCGAGAGGGGGAGCCCUCGUGUAAGCAAAUUGUAGUUUUUACUUUCCUAUGAGAUGUCGGUAUGUGUCCUCGUGAGCUCAUGAAGCUGGGGGUGAGCUCCCUGACGUGGUUUACCUUAGUCAGCGCCAGAUUAGGCCGGGUCAUGAGGUGACGAGUUCCUGAGAAUCCUGCGGAGCUUAUCACCCCGUUUGAGGGGGGCCCAUAAGAGGUGAGCACCAGGCGCAGUGCUAGCGCGUGCUUGACGAGCGUGCGCUCUGUGUGGUCCGACUGGCGAGGAGCUUUACGAGGGAAAGGCAAUGGACAUGAGUCCCAAACCAAACAAGAUCCAGAAGGCAAGAAGAGGCUCGAAUGAGAAAAGGCACCCCCCGCGCGCAUCGAUAAAAAUUCAGCUUCAACUUAAGUCCAGAUCCAAAAAGCAAAGCCACAGAAAGAGAGAUCCAAAGCAAAAGGCCGCGUCCGGCACCUAGUCUAGUCUUCGGGUCUUCAAGUCUUCUCACCAGCGUGGAGCUAAGUGCUUCCACUAGGCGUGGGAGGGAGCCCCAGGGCCUGAGGCCGGCGCUCCUGAGACUCCGGGGCGUGUACAGCCCCAACUCAUUAUUACGUGAGAGUGUCUCGGGUGGCGAGCUUCACAGGCACUGGGCCUUCUUCACAGGUAUCGGCCUUGCUUCAUAUCGCCAGACAAGGGCCCCGCCUUGCGCCACCCUCAACCUCCUUUGAGCCAACCAGUCACCAAGAUGACACAAAAGAGGGAAAGGGGACGCCAGCGGUUCUCUCGGCGACCACGGGUCCUCUGCCGGGGGAAGGGUUGUCGAAGCCACCCUGACAGAGGGCCUACCUCCAGGUGUCCCCUAGUUUUGCGUGCCUUGGGGAGGGGCCUGGCUCCCGACCCCUCUCCUGCAGCCCCCGGGGCGAUCCUUCCACUGCCAGGGGGGCUGUCGAGCUGGGGGCCGCCUGCCGCCGCGGUGGCCUGCUCCUCCUGCGACUCAUGGUUAGCGUAAGCUUGCUCCUGAGGGAUUAGGGGUACCCUGUAGUGGUCGUCGCACACGUGGCUGUGGUGGUUCCCCGGCAGCUCCUGGAAGGCUUCAGCUCCUAGCGCUCCUUCUUCCCAAUCUUCUCCAACGAACGAGCCCGGGCCGUCCUCCGGUGUGUACUCCUGGUCCGUCAUGCGGGGCACGUAGGCUUCCGGGGCUGUUACCCCGAAUACCCCCCGUGGUGCCCCACACUCCAUGUCGUUCGGCCCAUCGUGGCCUCCUGGGGGUGAUAGUGUGGCAUCCUCUCGGGCCAUGGAAGGCGACGCUUGUGCCCAUGCUUGUUGCGGGCGGUACGGGGGCGGUAGAGCCCGCGACACCGCCGGCCAUGCCGGCAUUGACGAAGCCCCAUGGCGCACUCGUCGGUGCGCGAUGGCGGCGUGGCCCACCGAAGAUCCCCGUAGCGGCCUGAGGAGGAAGCUGAUGGCAGAAGGGCGGGGCUCCCGAGGCCGCCGCGUCCAGCAGCUCAACAACACGCUCCAGCAGCGUGUCUCGGACACUUUCCAUCAGCCGACACCGCAGCAGCUCCCUUGCCACGGUGAGUGCUGCCCGUGUGUUUGCUUGCUCCUGUCAUGAGUGCGGCGCCAUUGCUGCGGCGUGGCUUGCUGCUCUGGCAGCGGCUCGUACUUGCCGUGGAGUGACAGUAGCCGACGCCCCACCGCGUCGCCCGCGCCCCGUAGGAUUGGGUGGCGCUCGGGCCGCCUGGAGUGCGGGGUCGACGUCUUCAUAGGCGGGCGGCGCCGACCGGGCUGGCCAGGCUGCCCAGCGGUCGGGGUCAGCUCUUGGGUCGUCGGACAUCGCGGUCGUGGUGCAUCUGCAAGUCGAUUGUCGGAGAAGAAGCUCCGGCGCACCCCUACCUAGCGCGCCAAAUGUCGGAUGUGGGGUUCCGACAAACCCUUAAGGUUCAAACACUGGGGUGCGCACGAAGUCUCUUCCUCCCACCGAUCUACGCCCUAGCUCGCUAAGAUCUCGCGGACGAACUCGACGAACUGGCAACACAGGAAGACACAUGAUUUAUACUGGUUCGGGCCACCGUUGUGGUGUAACACCCUACUCCAGUGUGGUGGUGGUGAAUUGCCUCUUGGGAUGAUGAUGAACAAUACAAGGGGAAGAAUAGCCUCCUGAGGUCGAGGUGUUCUUGUGCGUGGCUAACUUGUGUGGGUGAGAGAGCGAUCUAAGAUGCCGACCCCCGCCCCCGAUGGUGGCUAGUCCUACUUAUAGAGGCCCUGAUCCUCUUCCCAAAUAUUGAGCGGGAAGGGAGCCAACAAUGGCAGGCUAAUUUGAAGGGGGGCAGCUAGUACAAGCCAUCUGACCAAAGGUGGUCUGUGCCUACGAAAGGCUCUGGUGGUGACGCCGUCUUGGGCUCCACGAUGACCUCCGUCUUGUCGUCCUUCUGGUCUUGGUCUUGUUGCACCAAAAUGGAAACCUUUGCCUGAUGCCUCGGUACUCCUCGCCUGUGCUAGUUUCCUUAGCACCAAAGAGGAAACAAGGACGUUGCGCGCGCUGGCGCCCGCCUGGCGCCCACCUGGUGUCGAUCGUCAUGGCUCAUGUCAUGAGAGCCUCAUGAGGUUCACCUCGCCUUGAUAUAUCCGCUCCUCGUGAGCCUGCCUGACUAGGCCGCUCUAGAGGAGGUCUCGUGUCGUCCUCCUCACGAGGGUCUUGGAUGCCUUGUUGGUCAAGAUGGGCCGUACGGCCCACUGGCUCAGCCAUGCCGCGGGCUACAGGCAGGCAAGUCUGGGGACCCCCGUUCCCAGGACGCUGACAACUUGAUCCGCUGUUGGAUCGCAUGGCGGAUCAUCCCUCUGAGCCGCCGAUCUGACUUGAUGUACAACUAUACCAGAGGAGCAGACAAUCCAUUAUGUUAUAGCUCCCUACGUCUGACUGAAGAAGCCAUUGUUGAAAUGUCAACCACCCUCGUCAACAGUAAAUAUGAAGACUACAUCAAAGUAGGAUUGAAUCCUUUCUGCAAACUUAACCCGGCACCAGAGGUAAAUCCUCUUGACUCCUUUUUCUUCAGCAGUUAAGUAUUUGCAUGAGUUUCAACUUGUUAUAUUUCUACAGGCUAAAUCUGACUUUUGGAAGGCCAAAUAUGAUCAUGAGGCUGCCAAAAAAGCUAGAGCCGCCGCAAUAGCCGCUAAUAAGACAGCCAGAAAAUCUAAGAAGAAACCAACUGCUUCUGAAUUGUUCAACUUGGAUGACGUCUCUGAGUCGGAGGUAGCCCUUGACUCUCUUGGCCUACUUUUUAACAACCUUAUUGACACUAACUAUUACUAGGAUGAUACGGGGGCCAGCCAGGUAGUAGAAGAAGAGGUAACUAUUAUUUCCUCAGACUUAGAACUUUUGCCAAGGCAGAAACCUCGGCGGGUAACCCAGAAAGUAAGGUUUUUGCACCCCUUGGCUUAUUUAGAUCCUCGUUUUCUUUUGAUAAAGCAGCAACAUGAGAGCCGCCAUCAGACCCCGACCAGUGGAGAUGAUGAGUUACCCUCUGGCUUACCGAAAACUCCUCGGAAAUGCCAGAAUGAGGUUCUUUUACAUCUUAACUCUGAUGAACAAGUCACUUUUAUAAAUCACUCAACCAUAAUUCCAUUUUUUGCAGGAGAUUGCUCGUUCCUCCUCUGGUGAUUCCUCCCAAACUCAGCUACCGGCUUUUAAGACCGCCCCCAGGUAAAGAUAAUUAUCCUUCUUCUGCACCUUUAUGCUUGUAUCAUUAUAUUGACUUUUUAAAUUCUUCUUAGUGGUCAAGCAAAGCCCAAGAAGGCCAAGGUGGCCAAACCGGCUGAAGACCCGAAAGUCGCUGAACCGGCACAGCCGACUCUUGCCUCGGAAGAACCUAAAGCGCCGGAAGACCCCACUAUCAAUGUUCAGUCAGAUCUUCGUGAGCCGUCUGUUGACGAAACCGUUCUCAAUCCAUCCACUGUUGAGCCAUGAAGCUCAGCUAACCCGCCGGAGACUUAUGGCAAUGAUGUUUUAAUCACUGGUAGCAGAUUCGUUGAACCGGGUAAUCCAAUUGUGCUGGCAAGACACUCCGCCAAGCAAGAGGUCAUGGAGAGGCAGAAAGUGAGGUUUGAUGUCUCCCACUACACCCAUCUGAGUAUUGGUGAAGUACUAUCUGGCUAUCUUAGCCAAGUCAACUCCAGUCGUGACUCAGAAAUUGAAAUGGUCAAACAGUUGUAUCAGAAAUAUGAGGUAUGUCAUUCGGCUUAUAUAUACAUCCUGUAAGCCCCCAAGUCUUCUGAUUAUGAAAAAACUUGAAUAAUUUGUAGACUUUGAAAUGUUUAGAAGCUUAUGUCCUAGGCUCCCUCCAAGUCCGGUUUAUAUAUUAUAAACUCAAAUUCUGAUGAUAGCAUAACCGUUGCAUUUGUAGUCCCCAAGGGCCGGUUUAAUCAGUAUGAAUGAACAAUAUGUAAAAGAGAAAUACUUUGACUAGAUAUCCUGACGAGCCAGCUGAAGCUAUGAAUAACACAUCCGGCAUACUUUAGGUAGGAAAAAUAGCAAUAUGCAUUAGCCCCAAAGUGCCAAGUGUUAUUGCUUGCAAAGCACUUGGGACUUCUGAAAAAUCCAAUUCCUUUGACAAGAAAAUUGCGCUGACAGACAUUAGCCCCCAAGUGCCAAGUGUUAUUGCUUGCAAAGCACUUGGGACUUGCUUUUAUAGUCUGCCAUGAAACUUAACAAUCGUAUUCUGUAUACAGGCUGCAACCGUAGAACUGGAAUCUCAAUUGACUGAAGCCAAGACCCGGCUGUCGACUCAGGAGACUGAAACAACGAAAAUUGAAUCCAAACUCCAGUUGAGCAUGUCUAAAGCAGAGAAACUGAAGACCAGUUUAAAUGCAGAGAAAAAGUCUUCGACCGAUGAGAAGACUUCACUGACGCAGCGUGCUGAAACGGCCGAGGCGGCUUUGAAAGAAGUUACCAUUGAACUCACCGGUUUUAAGAACCAUGUGUCUCAGAUGGUUUCUGCAAUCUUUGGUAAAUCAUUCUUAUUUACUCAAAGUCUAUAUUUAUCACCAUAAUGUAAGCCACCUACUUAACCCAUUGGGAAAACUUCACAGGUCCGCGGAGCAGCAAUCUGAGUCAAAAUAGCUUGAUAAAGCUCAAGGCGGUUUACACUCUUGUGGAGCAACUAUAUACUGGAGCUCAACGGACUCUUGCCAUUAUCUCCCCAGCUAACCAAGGACCAAACUUAUUGAGUGAUGUCUUGAAGAAGCUAUCCAUCUUACCCGCCAGGUUUCAAGAAGUCAAGCGUUCCUGUGCGAGAGCCGAAGCCGUAACUGCUUUAAGCCACUCCAAAGCCUGCGUACCAGAGCUAGACCCGAUGGACGUAGCCAAGGGGUACCCCAGUUUUAAGGAAUAUGGGAGUCCCUUUGACCAAGAAGACUUUGCUGCUUGUGUAAAAGAGAUUCAUCCUCAUGCCACCAUCAUUGCCGAAGAAACCAACCUUACCAAGUAUCAGCCGGGUUUUGAUGCAGAGAAUAAAAAGAUGACGACUCCUUCGUAUAAAGUGACGGAUCUAAUCCUGUCGGUUCGCCAGCACACUUUUGCCCUGGAAAUUGACCCGUCUGGUCUGAUUGAUGAUGAGGCUAAGUUCGUCGCCCUUCAUGGCUUUGAUUGGUCCAAGCCCAAUUUCCAAACGGUGGAGGAGGAUGAACCGGCAAGGGAUUAGUCGUAACCAUCCAAACAACCCGGCCAGGACUGAUGAACCGGCUUUAGUUUAUCAUCUGCUAUGAGAGUUUAAAAAAAUCAUUAUCCUUUUGGGCUCCAAGUGCCUUGUAAUAGGCUAGCUUAAAACUUCAUGUUCUGUUUAUGCCAUCGUGCAUAUUGUGUUGCGUACAACACUUUUAUCCGUCAUGUGAAGAUAUGCCUUACAUCCUUUACAAUAUCAGUAGGUUUUGAAUCUGUUCCUACAUGUAAGAUAUGAAAAUUGUCUUGGCGGUUUAUCGUUGGACGGGUCAAAACACUCAGUACACAACCAUGGAAACCAACAUAACUGUAUAAUUAAGGCUGGAUAUAAGGAUAAUUAAGGCUGGAAAACCUCUGAUUGAAGAGAUACAGAUAAGCAUGUUAUGAAUUUUAACUUUGAAACACAACGGCAAUAUCAUACCUAUGAUCUUGAAUCUGAACUGUCGGCUUAUGUGACCCGAACAGUAAGGGUGAUAACCCAAUCUUUAGAAGCCAACACUUCCAUAUGUAUGAUGACUGUCAUACACUGGCGAUUUAUCGUCAAAAAACCAAGCCAGGUUAAAUUGAAACCAUACUUAUACUUCGAUCAAGAUGAAAAGCCGCGGAAUAAAAAACAAAGAUCGACUUUCAAAAAGCGUAAGUCAAACACAGAAAAAUUUGGAGGCUUCUGAUUCGAAUACGAUCAGUAAACCGGACCAAAGGGGUUAAGCUAGGAUUCGAAUACGAUCAUGUAGCCCCCAGUGGAUUUGGUGUUGUGCCGAUCAAGAGGGUACCGACAGCUAUGUUCUCUUUGGUUCGAAUACGACCUGUGUUUGAACAGGAAGCCCCCAAAUGACCUUGAGAGUUUUUUUAACGACUCUGAUUCGAAUACGAUCAAAGUCAGACCCAAAAGGGGUUAAGCUAUGAUUCAAAUACGAUUAAGAAGCCCCCUAGUGAGUUUGGCAUUGCGUCGAUCAAGAGGGUACCGACAACUAUGUUCUCUUUGGUUCGAAUACGACCUAUGUUUGAACAGGAAUCCCCCUAGUGAUCAUAUGUUUUACCAGCUAGAUUCGAAUUUGAUCAUAAGCCGGACCAAAGGGUUAAGCUAGAUUUGAACAAAAUCAGCCCCCAAUUGGUCAUUUUGAAUUUAACAUGAUGAAAACAUGCAAUUAUUGAGGAUGAAAAAGGAUAGAGGUCCUGCUUUAUUACUUAUCAUAAUAUAUACAACGUCAAAGUAUGUACAUCAUGAGAGCCAGUGACUCACGUAUAGUAAGGCCGAAGAUGAGCGAUGUUCCACGGCCGGCGAGUCUCCUCCUCCAACUUAUGUGAGUCUUUGUGCUCUCGAACAUCGAUAAGGUAGUAUGACCCGUUGUUCAAGUUCCUGCUGACCACAAAAGGUCCUUCCCAAGGUGGAGAUAAUUUGUGUGCAUCAGUUUGAUCCUGGAUGAGCCGGAGCACCAAGUCACCUUCUUGAAAGGUUCUGGACUUAACCCGGUGGCUGCAAUAACGGUGCAGGUCCUAUUGGUAAAUCGCCGAGCGGGCUGCUGCUAAGUCACGCUCUUCAUCUAACAGGUCAAGUGCAUCCUGACGGGCUAGUUCAUUAUCAGCUUCAAUGUAAGCCACCACGCGGGGUGAAUCAUGACGGAUGUCACUAGGCAAGACUGCCUCCGCUUCGUAAGCCAUCAAGAAAGGGGUAUAACCCGUAGACCUGUUGGGGGUAGUAUUGAUGCUUCAUAUCACAGAGGGUAACUCCUCCACCCAACAACCCGGUGUUCGUUGUAAAGGAACCACAAGCCGGGGCUUGAGACCUUUCAAGAUUUCCUGAUUGGCUCUUUUAGCUUGAGCAUUAGAUUGGGGAUGAGCCACUGAUGAAACAUCAAGCCGGAUAUGCUCACGUUGGCAGAAUUCCUCCAUACCACCCUUGGACAGAUUAGUACCAUUGUCAGUUAUAAUGUUGCAUGGAAAGCCAAAAUGAAAGAUCACCUUUUUCAUGAAUUGAACCGCCAUGGCUGCAUCACACUUACUAACCGGCUCUGCCUCAACCCACUUUGUGAAUUUGUCAACUGCCACCAAAAGGUGUGUCUUUUUAUCUUUGGAUAUUUUGAAAGGUCCAACCAUAUCGAGCCCCCAGACUGCAAACGGCCAAGUAAUUGGAAUCAUCCGCAAUUCUUGAGCUGGCACGUGUGCCCAUCGUCCGAAUUUUUGACAACCAUCACACCUACUGACUAGAUCCUCCACAUCAACGUGAGCCGUCAGCCAGUAAAAACCAUGAUGGAAGGCUUUGGCUACAAGAGACUUUGAACCGGCAUGAUGGCCACAAUCUCCUUCAUGGAUUUCAUGAAGAAUUUCUUGACAUUCCUCAGGAGAGACACAUCGUUGAAAUGCCUCGGUGACACUGCGAUGAUGCAACUCACUGUUGGCAAUUGUCGUUGAUUUAGACCGCCGGGUUAUCUGUCUAGCCAAGGUCUCAUCCUCAGGCAACUCACCCCGGGUCAUAUAAGCCAAAUAUGGCACUGUCCAAUCUGGGAUGACGUGAAGAGCCGCCACGAACUGUGCUUCCGGGUCUGGAACAGCCAAGUCUUCCUCUGUAGGCAACUUGAGAGAAGGGUUAUGCAGAACAUCUAAGAAAGUGUUAGGCGGCACCGGCUUACGCUGAGACCCUAGCCGGCUUAAAGCAUCAGCCGCUUCAUUCUUUUUGCGAUCAAUGUGUUCCACAUGGUAACCCUUGAAAUGUCCAGCAAUGGCAUCAACUUCGCAGCGAUAAGCCGCCAUGAGAGAAUCCUUGGAAUCCCACUUGUCUGAUACUUGUUGAGCCACCAAAUCUGAGUCACCAAAGCACCGUACCUGGCUCAAGCUCAUCUCCUUAGCCAUCUGAAGACCAUGGAGCAAGGCCUCAUACGCAGCUGCAUUGUUAGUACAGGGAAACAUCAACCGUAGCACAUAACAAAAUUUGUCACCUCGAGGGGAAGCUAAAACAACUCCAGCCCCCGAGCCCUCUAAUUGCCUGGACCCAUCAAAAUGAAUAGUCCAAUAUGUGUUGUCCGACUUCUCUUCAGGCAUCUGCAGCUCUGUCCAAUCAUUGAUGAAAUCCACUAGUGUUUGAGAUUUGAUGGCAGUGUGUGGCACAUACUUUAAACCAUGAGGCCAAGCUCAAUGGCCCACUUGGCAACUCGUCCUAUGGCUUCUCUAUUUUGAAUAAUAUCUCCUAAAGGACCAUAGCUAACCACAGUGAUGGGAUGACCCUGAAAAUAAUGCUUAAGCUUCCGGCUCGCCAUGAACACCCCAUAAACAAGUUGUUGUCAUUGUGGAUAUCUCUGUUUGGACUCAAUGAGCACCUCACUGACGUAGUAAACCGGUCGUUGCCGGAUAUUCCUUGCCAACCUCUUUGCGCUCUACGACAAUGGCCACACUGACAGCACGUGUGUUAGCAGCCACAUAUAACAAUAAUGGCUCCUUAUCCAUGGGAGCAGCAAGAACCGGCGGCUCAACGAGCUGUCUCUUCAGAUCUUCAAAGGCAGAGUUUCCAGCAUCACUCCAGACAAAAUCAUCUGUCUUCUUCAUCAUUUGAUACAGCGGUAUGGCCUUCUCACCUAACCGGCUUAUGAACCGGCUUAAAGCAGCAACAUGACCCGUCAACCGUUGAACGUCAUUGAUGCAUGCCGGCUUAGCCAAAGAUGUAAUUGCUUUGAUUUUCUCUGGGUUAGCCUUGAUGCCUCUAUUAGAAACCAAAAAACCCAAAAGCUUUCCCCCUGGCACUCCAAAAACGCACUUGGCCGGGUUAAGCAUCAUCUUGUAGAUCCGGAGGUUAUUAAAGGUUUCCUUCAGAUCAUCUAUCAAGGUCUCCUUCUCUUUGGACUUCACCACUAUAUCGUCCACAUAAGCAUGAACAUUGCGCCCAAUCUAAUUGUGAAGAUAGUUCUGCACACAUCGCGGAUAAGUCUCCUGGGCACUUUUAAGCCCAAAAGGCAUAGACACAUAGCAGAAGGCUCCAAACGGAGUAAUAAAAGCCGUCUUCUCCUGGUCUUUAACUGCCAUCUUGAUCUGAUGAUAACCAGAAUAAGCAUCCAAAAAGCUCAAACGCUCACAACCCGCCGUAGCAUCAAUGAUUUGAUCAAUACGAGGGAGAGCGAAAGGAUCAGCCGGACAAGCCUUGUUUAAGUCCGUGUAAUCCACACACAUAUGCCAGGUGCCGUUCUUUUUAAGCACGAGCACCGGGUUAGCCAACCACUCUGGAUGAAAAACUUAAAUAAUGAACCCGGCCGCUAAGAGUCGGGCCACUUCUUCACCAAUGGCCUUGCGCCUUUCGUCAUUGAACCGCCGAAGAAACUGCUUGACCGGCUUAAAUUUUGGAUCAAUAUUGAGAGUGUGCUCAGCGAGUUCUCUCGGUACACCCGGCAUGUCAGAAGGUUUCCAUGCAAAGAUGUCCCGGUUCUCACGGAUGAACUCGAUGAGCGCACUUUCCUAUUUGGGAUCCAGAUUAGCAGUGAUACUAAACUGCUUAGAUGAGUCACCUGGAACAAAAUCAACAAGCUUAGUGUCAUCAGCCGACUUAAACUUCAGCAACGACUCAUGCUCCUUAGUUGGCUUUUUCAAAGACGUCAUGUCUGCCGGGUCAACAUUGUCUUUGUAAAACUUUAACUCCUCUGUUGCAUAAAUAGAUUCAGCGUAAGCGGCAUCGCCUUCCUCACAUUCCAAGGCUAUCUUCCGACUCCCAUGCACUGUGAUGGUACCCUUAUGACCUGGCAUCUUGAGCUGCAAAUAAACAUAACAGGGUCGUGCCAUGAACUUGGCAUAAGCCGGUUGUCCAAACAUGGCGUGAUACGGGCUCUUGAUUUUGACCAGCUCAAAAGUUAAAUUCUCAGCCCUAGAAUCAUGCUCAUCUCCAAAGGCUACUUCCAGUUCAAUCUUGCCCACUAGGUAUGCCGACUUACCUGGCACCACUCCAUGGAAAACAGUGUUGGAUGUCUUAAGAUUUUUGUCAGUCAGCCCCAUGCGACGGAAAGUCUCAUAAUAGAGGAUGUUGAUGCUACUGCCUUCGUCCAUGAGUACUUUAGUGAAUUUAUAUCCACCAACUUGAGGUGCCACCACCAAGGCCAGGUGACCCGGAUUGUCAACCCAGGGGGUGAUCUUCCCUACUCCAUAGAAUAGGCUGCUCAGACCAUCUCAAAUAAUGAGGGACUACUAGCUCAACAGCAUUCACAGCCCUCUUAUGAAGCUUCUGGUCCCGUCUACACAAACUGGUGGUAAACACAUGAUACUGUCCACUAUUCAACUGCUUUGGAUUGCUCUGGUAUCCAGAUUGUUGUUGCUGCUGCUGACCUCCUUGGCUAGACUGCUGAUUAUGACCACCUUGAUUUCCUUGAGAGCCUUGAAAAUUGGAGUUUGAACCGCCGCCCGGACCAUGAAAACCGCCGCCACCUGAGCCACCGCGCGGCCCAUGAUUGCUAUUGAACAUGUUAGAGUUCUUGAAAGCCUUCAUGAUCGUACAGUCCUUCCACAGGUGAGUGGCCAGUUUCUGCUGAGUACCGUGCCUUGGACAGGGCUCAUUUAAUAGCUACUCAAGAGUGGGACCUGACCCGCCGGACCGAGGAGGUGGCCUCCCCUUACGUUGCUGAUUGUUGCCUUGUGCAUUGGUGUUAGCCACAAACUCCAAGCUACCGUCAGCCUUACGUUUAUUAUUGCCUCCUUGAUUUGUCGGGUUAUGUUGAUGACCCUUGUCGUUCUUCUUCCCCUUCCAUGUCUUCUCCUCGUCAGACUCGGGAUCCUUGGUACUAUCAGAGUCGACAUACUUUACUAGAGCCGCCAUUAGCUGGCCCAUGUCAGUACAAUCGCGUUUGAGCCACCCCAUCUUCUGUUUCAGAGGCGUAAAAUGGCAAUUUUUCUCCAACAUUAAGACUGCAGAGCUGGCAUCCAUCUUAUUAGAUGAAUGUAUUAUGGCUUUGACCCGGUGCACCCAAUGGGUCGUGGACUCUCCUUCCUCUUGUUUACAAUUAGUUAAAUCCACAAUUGUCAUAGGCUGCUUGCAGGUGUCUUUGAAAUUCUGAAUAAACCGGGCUUUUAACUCUGCCCAUGAACCAAUGGAAUUGGGCGGCAGCCCCUUCAGCCAGGUGUGGGUCAUUCCAUCCAACAUCAUGGUGAAGUACUUGGCCAUUGUCGCGUCACUGACCUCCAGUAGUUCCAUGGCCAUCUCAUAGCUUUCAAUCCACACCCCUGGCUGUAAAUCGACUGUGUAAUUAGGCACCUUUCGAGGCCCCUUGAAAUACUUGGGCAAACGCUCAUUACACAGAGCCGGUACCAAACAAGGGACACCUCCAGUCCUUGUGGCCACGCCUGCCUCAAUAGAGGCCGUCAGAUGAACCGGAAAAGACUGGUGAGCCUCCCGCUAAGACGCCUGCUCAGCUGCCUGUUGAGCCGCCCGCUCAACCUCUUAGCGGAUCCUGUCCUGGUCAACCAAGUUAAGAUCUUCAUCACGCGCCGGGUCAUGCCCGCACGGCUGGUCACGGCAUCGGGCGUUGCUUGAAAUGGCUGCCAAAUCUAUAUGCCUGCUAUAACUCGGGCUCCGGCUUGGGCGAGGGGUCGAAUGAAUCCUGCCUCGACUAUAAGAAUAAGCCUCCUGCUGCGCCAGAGCCAUCUAAAGAAGUUCUCUGACCCUUCGGGUUUCAAUCGCCGUCGGAGAGUCACCCUCCGCUGGGAGAGCCGCCAAUCAUGCUCCCGCGGCGAUCAUGUUCUCCAAAGGGUUAGAAUAAUGGCCCGGUGGUGUUGGUACAUAAUGAGGUGUAGCAGUAUUCGCACGAGGAGGUUCCAUCACCCGUGGCUAAACCGGCGCCCCAGCCCUGGGCGUUGCAACCCAGUUUACCUCCGGCGGGUUACUGGGGCCCGCCCCGGGUGUGCGGAAGAGGUUUCUAGGAUCAUAAAUCAGAGGCAGACGGGAUUGAGCCUUCUGGUGUCUUCUCCUCAUGACUUCAUUUGAUGCGUUCCGAUCCAUCGUAAGCUGGAAAGCUUCUGAUUGAAUCUGCUGAGCUCGAGCAUCUAAAGCCGCCCGCUCUGCGGCCAUCCUAACGUCCUCUGCUGCUAGGUUUUCCUUGUCUUAUGCCACCUCCUCACGUAACCGUGCCACUUCUGCAUCAUGUUGAUCCUGAUCCGCCGGGUUAACCACGGCAGUUAACAUGGCUGUCAUCCUGUCCAUGAGAUCCAUCAGUACCUGAGCCGGCGGGCACGCAGGGCCUCCUGCCCCGGCCGCUGUUGACCCGGAGGUAAUUGCUGCCACAGUCGUAGAGUUUUGAAUGGGCUGCGUGCUAGUCAUGAAGAUCCCUGACUUGCUCGGCGGCUCAAAGGGGUCCGGAAUACUGCUACCAUCGGAACAGCCCCCAAGCCCACCGUCUUGCAUUUGAUACAAUGAAUCCAUCUCACCUGUGGACGAUCCACCGUCAAAGAAGAUGGCCGUCUCAUCAGCAGACACCGAUCCUUCAGAUAACUCUCCUCCAUGGAUGCAUCCCAUGAAGGCACGCUUAAUGGCGGGCUGAGUCCGGGCGGAUCUCGCACACUGAGCCGUCUCGAUGAUGUCGGUGCAGAUGUCUGGCUCAGGGCCCGGCUCGCCGAUCUGGCCGAUGAAGACGUGGAUUCCACCGAAGGGGAAUCGGUACCUGUACUCAAUUGAGCCAGUGUCAGGGCCCCAGCCAGCAUCGUCGAUGUAGAGCUUGCCGCGAUGACUCUUGGUCAUCGGGCCCACAACAUAUCCCUUGAGCCCUUCAAAGCUGCCCUUCAAGAACUCAAAUCCACCGUGUGGAGGCGCCACGGUGGGCGCCAACUGUCGUGGAAUUGUCACGGCAGAUGUCCUAGUGAAAGGACUUAAUCAUGGAGCCAUCACAGGUAGGAAGCUUAAAGGGGUUAAACGGGACAAAGGACACGAGAAGUUUAUACUGGUUCGGCCCCUUGCGGUGAAGGUAAAGGCCUAGUCCAGUUGAGGUGAUAUUGCUAUGUUUCGAUGACCAAGGAGCGAAUACGCUUAACCUGGCUCUCGAUCUAUUGCUUCUUACCCUAAGCCGCCACCGGAUCGUCCCCUUAUAUACACAGGUUGACGCCAUGCAGCCUACAGAGUCCCGAUCGGCUCAUACAACGUGUACGGCUCGGUGACGUAUCUUACAUGCCUUACAUUACAAGUCUAUUCAUACAUGGCGUUUUAUAUUUACGGGCCCUAAGCCGCCCCUGGGCCUGGGCCUAUCAUAAGCCUAACUAUGAACCACCACCUUGUAUACUCUUGGGCUUCAUACAGGUGAAACGUCAUUGUGGUUGACCCGGCCCCUUCUGGGCGGGUCAUAUCUGAUAGUCAUAUCCCCAAUAGUCCUCGUUGCCGAGGCUCACCUCGUCCUCGGAGAGCGGAAGGUAGUUACUGUCCUCCGGGUCUUCGUUCAUGGCAUGUACAUCAGGGCUAACUCGCCCAUGUUCCCACUCGUCCUGUUCGGAAGUUGGCUUAGCGGGGUCUUCAUUGUCUUCGGCAUCGUCAAGAGUAUUGUUUGUGCCGGUAUUGCUGUUUUUUCGGCGGCGUUGCUUAGAGCGGUGCCGCUGACAUCGGCGCUUUGGCUGUAUCUCAGGAGGCCUGUCCUCGAUGGAUCUUCCUUGUCAUCACCCCUAUUCUCGUUUGGUGUGUCCACCAUGUAUACGUCAUAGGAGGAGGUGGCUGUCUGGCGCCCGGUAAAUGGCGGGAUUUGGGCCUGCUCCUCUUUGGCAUCGUCGUCCAUACCAUCAAUGUCUCUGGAGUCGUAAUCAAGCAUGUCGGUUAGAUCUUCGACAGUGGCUAUUAAGUGGGAGGUGGGUGGGAAGUGAAAUUCACCGUCAUCAGCCCCAGUUCAAAUCGGGUAUAAUUCGGCUAUAAGUCCCCUGCUAAAGAGAGGGUUUUUAAUGAGUUUAACACAUCGCCUAAAGGUGAGUGCUGGAAGAUGUCCGCGGAACUGAAUUGUACGAUCGGCGCCUGGUAAGGCUCGGCGGACACGGAUGCAUGUAGUUCAGAACCAGUGGCCGAAGAUGAAUCUAGGGGUCCGGUGACGCAGAUCCCACUCGAGGUUGGCUCUAUGUGCGGCUCCAACGCUGCUGAGUCUGCGGCUUCCGUGGCGGGGUUAAGCUUCCCGUCUUUGGAUGAUGCAAGCUGCUCCAGAUCUAGGGCCAGAGCGCUUAAGGGCGCAAUCUCCUGGGUAUGGUCCGAUGACAUAUUUAGAUCGUGUUCAUCACGGUGGCAGGGAGCAGCUGUGGGCUCAAAUCCGUCGAAGCUCAAGUCUCUGCGGAUAUCAACGAUGUAGUUCAAGCUUCCAAACCUGACCUGACAGUCAGGGGCGUGGAUGUCAAUCUGCUCUAGAUGGCCAAACGAGUUGGCCCGCGGUGGGAAGCCACCGAAUACGAAGAUCUGGCCAGGAAGAAAGACAUCCCCCCGGACAACGUUGUUGUAGAUGAUCGAUGGAGCCAUCAAACCUUCUGAUGAUGACACAACGGAACUCUCAAUGAAAGCACCAAUGUCGGUGUCAAAACCGGCGGAUCUCGGGUAGGGGGUCCCGAACUGUGCGCCUAGGGUCAAUGGUAACAGGAGUAAGGGGACACGAUGUUUACCCAGGUUCGGGCCCUCUCUAUGGAGGUAAUACCCUACUUCCUUCUUGAUUGAUCUUGAUGAAUAUGAGUAUUACAAGAGUUGAUCUACCACGAGAUCGUAAUGGCCAAAACCCUAGAAGUCUAGCCUAUAUGAUUCUGAUCAUGGUCCCUACGGACUAACCCCUCCGGUUUAUAUAGACACCGGAGGGGACUAGGGUUAUACAAAGCCGGAUACAGAGAAAGGAAUCUUCAUAUUUGAACGCCAAGCUUGCCAUCCACGCCAAGGAGAGUCCCAUCCAGACACGGGUGAGAGUCUUCGGUCUUGUAUCUUCAUAGCCCAUCAGUCUGGCCCAUGUCCAACAGGCCGGACGCCCGAGGACCCCUUAGUCCAGGACUCCCUCAGCAACCACAUGCUAAGAAGCCCAAGAUCCAAGAGGUACAUGAUCAUCAACCCAGUCCCAAGGUGUUAGAAGAGGGCCCUGCUCCCAUUCCUAUCAAUGUUAUGCAGAAUCUUGGUGCUUCUUUGGGCAUCCCGCCAGAGAAACUGAUAGUGGAGCAGCUUAUGGCUGAGCCCAAGAAGACUCACCACACCAAUGUGCCCAAUUAUAAGUGAAAUACUUUGUUUUAGUUCAGGGAGGUAGGCCCUUUGUCCUGUCAUUUAUUUUCUUUUGGGUUUCUUCUAUGUUCUAUCGAACUUGUGUGAGUGCUCAGUGGGUUCUGAGGAUGAUCUAAACUAUCUAUUGCAGUGUUCUGAUUAUGAUGUGUGCCAGUAUUAUUAUGUGAUACUAUGUAUGGCUCCUUAUCUUUCCAAGUUUUAUAAUGUGUGCAUCUGUUAAUAAAGAUUGGAAAGUACUCUGUUGGAAUGUUAGAGGGCUGAAUUCUGAAAUUAGACAAAGGGUUGUGAGGGAGUCCUGGAUUAGGGGGUGUCCGGAUAGCCGGACUAUACCUUUGGCCGGACUCCUGGACUAUGAAGAUACAAGAUUGAAGACUUCGUCCCGUGUCCGGAAGGGACUUUCCUUGGCGUGGAAGGCAAGCUUGGUGAUACGGAUAUGUAGAUCUCCUACCAUUGUAACCGACUCUGUGUAACCCUAGCCCUCUCUGGUGUCUAUAUAAACCGGAGGGUUUUAGUCUGUAGGACGAACAACAAUCAUACCAUAGGCUAGCUUCUAGGGUUUAUCCUCCUUGAUCUCGUGGUAGAUCUACUCUUGUACUACCCAUAUCAUCAAUAUUAAUCAAGCAGGACGUAGGGUUUUAUCUCCAUCAAGAGGGCCCGAACCUGGGUAAAACAUCGUGUCCCCUGCCUCCUGUUACCAUCCGCCUUAGAUGCACAGUUCGGGAACCCCUACCCGAGAUCCGCCGGUUUUGACACCGACAUUGGUGCUUUCAUUGAGAGUUCCUCUGUGUCGUCACUUUUAGGCCCGAUGACUCCUCCGAUCAACAACGACGAUGCGAUCCAGGGUGAGACUUUUCUCCCCGGUCAGAUCUUCGUAUUUGGCGGCUUUGCACUGCGGGCCAAUUCGCUUGGUCAUCUGGAGCAGAUCGAAAGCUACGCCCCUGGCCAUCAGGUCAGAUUUGGAAGUUUGAACUACACGGCCGACCUUCGCGGAGACUUGAUCUUUGACGGAUUCGAGCCGCAGCCGAGCGCGCCGCACGGUCACGAUGGGCAUGAUCUAGUUCUGCCGCUGAACAGUGCCCUGGAGGCCGCACCCGCAUCAGCUCCAACCCUUAAUUUGGAGCCAACUGCACCAAUUGAGGAUGGGUGGUUGGACACCGGCUCGGGGGCUGCAAUCUCUACGGCGAUCGAGCCGAACACCAGCCCUAUUCUCUGUGAAGCCCGUGACUCCAAGGAGCCGGACUCCUCUCCAGACUCCGAGCUCUCCGCGCCCCUACCGAUCGAACCCGAUUGGGCGCCGAUCAUGGAGUUCACCGCCGUGGACAUCUUUCAGCACUCGCCCUUUGGUGAUAUUCUGAAUUCACUAAAGUCUCUCUCUUUAUCAGGAGAGCCCUGGCCGAACUAUGGUCAGCAAGGUUGGGGUGCGGAUGAUGAAGAAAUUCAAAGCCCCCCCACCACCCACUUCGUAGCCACUGUCGAUGAUUUAACCGACAUGCUCGACUUCGACUCCGAAGAUAUCGACGGUAUGGACGCCGAUGUAGGAGACGAUCAAGAACCAGCGCCUAUAGGGCACUGGAAAGCCACCUCGUCGUAUGAUAUAUACAUGGUGGACACCCCAAAAGAAGGCAAUGUCGAUGGAACAGCAGAGGAUGACCCCUCCAAGAAGCAACCUAAGCGCCGGCGUCAGCGGCGCCGCUCUAAAUCCCGCCAAAGCAAAAAUGGUGAUUCUGGCACGGGAGAUAAUAACACCCCGGACAGCGCCGAAGACAACCACCUCCAGCAAGAUUCAGCACAGGAGGAUGGAGAAGCCAGCCCUCAUGAGAGAGCGGCAGACAGAGAGGUCGAGGACGAUAAUUAUAUGCCUCCCUCCGAAGACGAGGCAAGCCUCGACGACGACGAAUUCGUCGUGCCGGAGGAUCCCCUCGAACAAGAGCGUUUCAAACGCAGGCUUAUGGCCACGGCGAGCAGCCUCAAGAAAAAACAGCAACAGCUUAGAGCUGAUCAAGAUUUGCUAGCCGACAGAUGGACUGAAGUCCUCGCGGCCGAAGAGUAUGAACUCGAACGCCCUUCCAAGAGCUACCCAAAGCGCAGGUUGCUACCCCGAUUAGAGGAGGAAGCACCUAAACCUACAUCACCAGUGCAUGAUGCGGCCGACUGGCCACCCCAUGGCCGCGACAGAGAGGCCUCUUGGCCCUCCACUCAAGCCGCACCCCGGGCCGCUCAAAAAAUACCAAGGCACGGGAAAAUGGGCCAGACCUGCGAGAUAUAUUGGAGGACAAGGCAAGGCAAACAAGAUCGAUCUAUGGAUCGCGUGGGUGCCCCACGGCACGAGACGGUAAUCGUCACUUCGGAUACAGUAAAUCCGGCCAGGCCGAACACAGUAGACAAAGCUCGUUUGAGCUGCGUCGUGAUAUAGCCCAAUACAGAGGCGCCGCACACCCACUAUGCUUCACACAUGAAGUAAUGGGCAUCGAUCCCUCAAGGAUUAAACCCACUACAACGACCUUUAAAGGCGUCAUACCAGGUGUAGAGGCCAACUGUACAGGCUCAGUUACACUUGAAGUGGUUUUCGGAUCUCCGGAUAAUUUCCGAAGCGAGCAGUUAAUCUUCGACAUAGUCCCAUUCCAUAGUGGCUAUCACACACUGCUCGGGCAAACCGCAUUUGCCAAGUUCAAUGUGGUGCCGCACUACACAUACCUCAAGCUCAAGAUGCCAGGCCCUCGAGGAGUCAUCACAGUCAAUGGAAACACCGAACGCUCUCUCCGAACGGAGGAGCAUACGGCGGCUAUCGCAGCAGAAGUACAAAGCAGCCUCUCAAGGCAAUUCUCCAGUACGGCCAUUAAACGUCUGGACACCGUCAAGCGCGCCUGGAGUAACCUACAACAAGACCGCCUGGCAUGUUCCGAGCAAGCGUAGCAAUGCGGCCCCAAACCCAGCCCUCGCGAACUUGCGAAACCAGUGUUGCGCGUACAUAACUACGCUCUGGAAAUACCAUGGGCACAGGGGGAGGGGCACCAUCACGGCAUGCCCGAAACGCAGCUUAAAACGCACUAGGGGCUGCCGAUUUCUUAAUUUUCUCUUAUUUUCAGGACUCCAUUCUUCGGAAGGCUUAUCCGGUAGUACAAUUGCCGCACAAACUAUACAACCAGGGAAGCAGAAAGCUACGCCGCACUAUGGAACUCUAAGGUGGUCUCUAUAAUGAGCAGUAUACCUGUUUCACUUAACAUUCCGCAACUCGCCCCUGGAAAGGACAUGUUAAAUAGUCCCAUCUUUUGCUUAUUGCACGAUUUGUAUCGUUCUGCUUUAAUCGCAGCUUUUUUAAAUAAACAAUGCAUAGCUUCCGUCUAUUAUCGCAUUACUCUUUUUUAUGAAUAUAUGUUCAUUAAUGACAUGUUGCAUCCGUACACUUUGGUACGGCCAAUACGCCAGGGGCUUAAGUACCCCACAAUACGGUGUGAGAAGUCUGAACACUUUCACAAGUGCGGCACCUCGAACUUAUAGCAUUAUAUGCAUCGGCUCCGAAUCAUGUCUUGGGUCAAUAGUUGGGUUUGCCCAGCUCCUAUGUUUUGGUACCUUACGUUCCGUUAUAUCGGCUAAGGUAGCACUAGGAGAACUACUGCGAUUGUGCCCCAGUUGAGCUGGGCUAAGCACCUCAGUAGAGAAAGCUGAAACUGACCGUCAUGACGAGGCAAGAGCUGGUCGCUGUUCGAGAGGUUUUCGAGUCCCUAAAGACUUAUGCCGCUUAGAGCGAGGAGUCGGCUUUGUCCGGCCUAGGCGUGGAUAGCGCCCCGAACUCGGUCUUCCGAACACUAGGGGCUUCGCCGAAAUUUAAAAUUAUAGAAUUCUAUGGCUAAGUGAGAGUGUUCCAGCAUUAUAGUCCGAUUGCCUUGUUCAUUGUGUUGAGCGCCUCCCUCGAAGGACCCAAGAAUGGGAAAAAGAGCGCUCAUGUUUAUCCCGAACACCCCAACACUCGUGGCAUGGGGGCACAAGCCGACGACUCGCCAUCUCUCAAAUUUGAUAAACGGCCGCACAGAAGGUAACAUUUUAAAUUCAAAAAGCAUUUCUUAGCGCACAUGAACAAGAUUUCAGCGCACAGGACAAAACGAGCGAGUUUACUGAAAUAUUACAUCCCUGGAACAUUCAUCCGCCAUAAGGCGGGCACCCUUCAGAACGCCCUCAUAAUACAUCUCGGGCUUGCGAUGCUCCUUGCCCGGCGGUGGCCCGUCCUUCACAAGCUUCUCAGCAUCCAGCUUGCCCCAGUGCACCUUCGCACGGGCAAGCGCCCUACGGGCACCCUCGAUGCAUACGAAGCGCUUGAUGACUUUGAGCCUUGGAUAAGCCUCCACCAGCCACCUCACCAGCCCGAAGUAGCUCCCAGGCAUGGCCUUUCCAGGCCACAACCGGACUAUGAGGCCCUUCAUGGCCUGUUCGGCCACCUUAUGGAGCUCGACCAGCUGUUUCAGCUGGUCUCUUCAGGGCACCGGGUGUUCGGCCUCAGCAUACUGAGACCAGAACACCUUCUCUGUCAAGCUUUCCUCCUCGGCUCGGUAGAAGGCGGCGGCAUCCGACACGCUACGGGGCAAGUCUGUGAAUGCUCCUGGGGAGCUCCGGAUUCGGGUAAGUAACAAGUAAUUCACCUUUACAUGCUUGCUUUGCAUAAAGAAUGCCUUACCCGCCGCUAUCCUUUUUAUUUCCUCAACCUCCUGGAGGGCCUUCUGGGCUUCGGCCUUGGUAGACUUGGCAUCUUCAAUGGCCGCCGCGAGCUCAGACUCUCGCGUCUUCGAGUCAAGCUCCAAACUCUCAUGUUUUUUCCUGAGAGCCUGGAGCUCUUGCCGCACCUCGCCAACCUGCGUCUCAUGCUUCUCCCGCUCGGUGCGCUCCGUGGCCGCCCUAUUCUCGGCCUUGGAUAGCGCUUGCUUAAGGGUCGCCACCUUAGUUGUGGCCCCUACAAUAGCCACGUUAAUCCUGUCACUUUUUGCAAUUGCACCUUUCACAUAUUUAAAUCAGGUAUUUCUUACCUUCCUUCUCCUUGAGCUGCUGCUUGGCUAGGCCGAGCUCUCGCUCGGACCGCUCGAGGUUCUGCUUCAACGUGCCCACCUCUGCAGUCAGUGCGGCGGAUGCUAGCAGCGAAGCCUGCAUACGCAUAUUGACUUACUUUUAUUAGACUCCUGCGAACGUUAUUAGAUCCUAUAUUCGGCUUUUCUUUCCGAACGCCAAAUAGAGCAUCAGGGGCUACUGUCUAUGCGGUAAUAUUUUUACAUAUCUUUUACUUACCUCAAAGCCUGUUAGAAGGCUGGCACAGGAUUCAGUCAGUCCGCUCUUGGCAGACUGAACCUUCUGGAUCACCGCACUCAUAACAGUGUGGUGCUCCUCGUCGAUGGAGGCGCCGUUAAGCACCUCCAGCAAAUUGUCCGGUGCCUCCGGUUGGACGGAGGUCACAGGCUCGGUAGGCUUUCUCCUCUUGAAAGGAGGCUGCCUACCGGAGUCUGGAACCGUUAAAGGUUCCGGCGCGGUGUCCGGAUCAAGGCCGGACUUGGAGCCCUUGGGGGUUCUAUCCCCUUUACGCCUGGAGUCUGGGAGGUCGCCUUGCGGCGCCUCCAGGACCACCUCCUCCUGGCUUGGAACCUGUUGGGACGCCACCUCGGCGUCGUCCGUAGGGUGGGAGGAGGUAGCCAUCGGAAGUGAAUUCACAUCCGACGAAUCCAGGGAGCCGCUCGACGACUCAUCGAGCCCGGCCUUGGGCGGACUGCAUAAACAUGUUCGAUGUAAGGAAAAGCUGUGCAAUGGGGGAAUACUAUGAAUCACUCUGGUAUCCGGAUACUUACGAUCUCGCCAGGGGCUUGGCCCUGUGCGGCCACUCCUCUUUGCCGUCGUCGGCGUUGGUGGGGUAGUCCAGAGGAGGGGUCUUCCCCUUCUUGGACCCUUCGGCCUCCCCAGUUGGGGCGGCCUUCCUUUUCUUCCCUCCCCCCGCUGGAGGGGGAGAGGUCUCUUCUUCCUCCUCCUCGUCUUCACGGGAGGACUGCAUCUUGGAGUCGUCGGAUGAUGAAUUCGAGACCUCCAGGCGCCGGGCACUCUUUCGAGUCCCCGUGGACGUCUUCUUGGCCUUCCUCUCCGGCACCACAUAGGGUGCCGGAACCAGCAGCUUCGCCAAGCGAGCAUCCGCUGGGCCUUCGGGCAAAGGAGCCGGACAGUUGAUCUGUCCAGACGUCUCCCGCCAAUCCUGUCAAAGGUAAGGGAGCUUAGAUCCCGCAUGGAGUCAAACUAUGAAAAACUAAUAUCCUGUAAAAGGUAAAAAUAGCUUACCGCACGAGCGUGACACUGCGUGCUGAAUCCACGAUCCUCGGUAGCAGAUGCGGGGGCCUCGGCGCCCUUGAAAAGCACCUUCCAGGCAUCUUCGUACGUCGUGUCGAAGAGCCUGCUCAGAGUUCGGCGCUGCGCCGGGUCGAACUCCCAUAGGUUGAAAGCCCGUUGCUGACACGGGAGGAUCCGGCGGAUGAGCAUAACCUGGACUACGUUGACAAGUUUGAGCUUCUUGUCCACCAGGGUUUGGACGCAUGUUUGGAGUCCGGUCAGCUCUCCUUCUUUACCCCACGACAGGCCCACCUCUUUCCAGGAGGUGAGCCGCGUAGGGGGUCCGAAUCGAAACUCGGGGGCUGCGACCCAUUCAGGGUCGCGCGGCUCGGUGAUGUAAAACCACCCCGAUUGCCACCCCUUUAGGGAGUCCACGAAGGAGCCCUUGAGCCAUAGGACAUUGGGCAUCUUGCCCACCAUGGCGCCUCCGCACUCCGCCUGGGUGCCGCGCACCACCUUCGGCUUGACAUUGAAAGUCUUGAGCCAUAGGCCGAAAUGGGGCGGAUGCAGAAGAAAGCCUCGCACACGAGGAUAAACUCCAAGAUGUUGAGGACAAAGUUCGGGGCCAGAUCGUGGAAAUCCAGGCCAUAGUAGAACAUGAGCCCCCGGAUAAAUGGGUGGAGAGGGAAACCCAGUCCGCGGAGUAAAUGGGGGAGGAACACCACCCUCUCAUGGGGCCUAGGGGUGGGGAUGAGCUACCCCUCUUCGGGAAGCCGGUGCGCAAUGUCGUUAGACAAGUAUCCGGCCUUCCUCAGUUUUUUGAUGUGUCCCUCCGUGACGGAGGAUACCAUCCACUUGCCUCCCGCUCCGGACAUGGUUGGAGAAGGUUGAGGUGAGGUGUGCGGACUUGGGCGCUGGAGCUCGAGUGCGCGGAGAUGGAUAGGCAAAGGAGGAAGAAGGCGUGGAUGAAAAGGUGGAUCCUUAUCCCCUUAUAUGGGCCGACGCGACUAUGCGUCCCCACCAGCCUGCUAAAACUCGCUUAUCUCCCGAGCGCCGUAAUCAAUGGCGCGGUUGGGUUACCCACCCCGUAUUGAUGAGAAUCCCGGAGUAAGGGGACACGAUCUCUGCUUUGACAAGACGUGCCAAGGAAACCGCCUCGCUAAACGCGCUGAGGUGGGACAGUAAAACGAUUCGAAUAAAGACUUGGCCAUGGUGUGAUGUCACGCUACGGAAUAUGUCAGCAGAUUAGAUUUGUGUAAAUAUUAUUCUCUCCAUGGCAAUAUGUGGAAACUUAUUUUGCAGAACCGGACACUACCUUUGUGUUCAAAAUCUUCUAUGAAGUACUUGGAGGAGGAACCUGCCUUGCAAUGCCGAAGACAAUCUGCGCGCCGGACUCGUCGUCAUUGAAGCUUGGUUCAGGGGCUACUGAGGGAGUCCUGGAUUAGGGGGUGUCCGAAUAGCCGGACUAUACCUUCGGCCGAACUCCUGGACUAUGAAGAUACAAGAUUGAAGACUUCGUCGCGUGUUCGGAAGGGACUUUCCUUGGCGUGGAAGGUAAGCUUGGCGAUACGGAUAUGUAGAUCUCCUACCAUUGUAACUGACUCUGUGUAACCCUAGCCGUCUCCGGUGUCUAUAUAAACCGGAGGGUUUUAGUCUGUAGGACGAACAACAAUCAUACCAUAGGCUAGCUUCUAGGGUUUAGCCUCCUUGAUCUCGUGGUAGAUCUACUCUUCUACUACCCAUAUCAUUAAUAUUCAUCAAGCAGGACAUAGGGUUUUACCUCCAUCAAGAGGGCCCGAACCUGGGUAAAACAUCAUGUCCCCUGCCUCCUGUUACCAUCCGCCUUAGACGCACAGUUCGGGACCCCCUACCCGAGAUCCGCCGGUUUUGACACCGACAGGUUGUGAGAGCCAAAAUUGAAGAAAGCCAAUGUUCUGUUGUUUUCUUACAGGAAACAAUGUGUGAUUUCUUUGACCAAAGAUCUAUCAGGAAAUUUUGCCCCAAAAGAUUUGAUACCUUUGCUUAUUCACCCUCUGUGGGUGCUUCUAGUGGAAUUAUUGUGUUAUGGUGUUCUUCUGCUUUAACUGGUGCCUUAGUUGAAGUUCAAAGUUUUGGUAUUAUCAUAAAUUUCACCUCAGCCCGUAAUAACUAAAAAUGGACUUUGGUUAAUGUUUAUCGACCCUGACAUGGAGAGUUAAGAGAUUCUUUUGUGCACUAGCUGUAUCACAUUCAAAUCCCACAACAUGAUCUUUGGUUAUUCUUAGGAGAUUUUAAUUUUAUCAGAUAUGUGGAUAACGGAAAUAUGCCAGGGGGUGAUAUCAAUGAUAUGUUCAUUUUUAAUCAAAUUAUUGGACAUCUGGGUCUUAUUGAAUUGCCUUUGAAGGGAAGAUCAUACACAUGGUCAAAUAUGCAGGAAACACAUGUACUGGAAUAGCUAGAUUGGUUUUUUACCACACCAACAUGGACUGGGGAAUACCCAAAUACAAUGGUGUAUCCACUAGCUAAGACUAGCUCAGAUCAUGUUCCUUGUGUGGUCUCCAUCUCCACGUCCAUACCCAAAGGAAAUAUUUUUUUGUUUUGAGAAUUACUGGGUGGACAUGCCUGGGUUUAUGGAGUGUGUUUAGCUUUCUUGUUCUGCUCCCACAAAAAAGGCAAAUCCAGCUACCAUACUAACUGAAAAAUUCUAAAGGCUAAGUACUAAUCUCAAAAAAUGGCACACAGGUCUAUCAAGGUUAAAACUACUAAUGAAUGCUUGUAAUGUGGUUAUCCAAGCUUUUGAUAAUUUGGAAGAGCAAAGACCCUAUCUAGGCCAGAAUUCAACUUCAAAAAGAUUAUCAAGUUGCAUCUAGAAGAGCUUCUACAUCUUUAGUAUAUUUACUGGAAACAAAGAUGCACCAUCAGAUGGAUUAAAGUGGGGAGGAGAACUCCAAGUUCUUUCAAGCAAUGGUGACUAAGAGGUUUAGAAGAAAUACAAUUUCCAAUUUAGUUAAUGAUUAUGGUUUGUUAUUGUCCUCCCACAAUGCUAUGGCUGGACUUCUUUGGUCUUCAUAUAAAGAUAGAGUGGGGAUUUCCUGUGGGGUUGACAUGUUGUUUGAUUUGGAGGAUUUGAUUCAGCCUGUCCUUGGGCUUGAGAGUCUGCCAGGGUCUUUCUCUAAAGAAUAAAUAAAUGAGGUAUUGAAGCACUUACCACAAGACAGAGCACCAGGAUCAGAUGGUUUUACUGGGUUGUUUGUAAAGAGAUGUUGGCAUAUAAUUAAGGAUAAUUUCCUCAAUUUAAUUACUGACUUCUAUGAAGGAAGAAUUACCCUCCAGAGUAUAAAUGGGUCCUUGGUCACACUCAUCCCAAAAAUUAUAUCUCCUAAGGGGCCAAAUGAUUAUAGGCCAAUCUCUCUCACAAACACUUGCCUCAAGUUCCUCACUAAACUCCAGGCAAAUAGGUUGCAAAAAUUUAUUCUUAAAUGCAUCCAUAAGAAUCAAUAUGGUUUUCUUAAUUCCGGGUCCAUUCAAGACUGCAUUGCAUGGAUUUUGGAAUAUAUUCAUUAGUGUCAUCAAUCUAAGAGACCAAUUCUCAUCCUCAAGCUUGAUUUUGCUAAAGCCUUUGACACUGUUGAACAUGAUAUGAUCUUGCUCAUGUUGAAAUACAAAGGUUUUGAUGCAAAAUGGUUGGUUGGAUUAAGGAGCUCCUUUCUUAUGUAUCUUCUUCCAUCCUCCUCAAUGGUGUUCCAGGCAAGCAGUUUAUUUGUAAAAGAGGUGUAAGGCAAGGAGAUUUUAACGCCCUCGAUGUGGCUAUAUCUCCUACGUGUCGAAGCACGACUUAGAGGCAUAACCGCAUUGAAAGCAAUGUCGCAAGUACGGUAAUCUUCACAACAACCCAUGUAAAUAGAUAAUAAGGGGAAAGAUACAUAGUUGACUUACACUCACCACGUCACACAAAGUACAUAAAUAAAAUUACAAUCAUCCAAUCACUCAUGGUCCGACUAUGGUACCAAAAUAAAAGAAGACUACCCCAAAUGCUACAUAGAUCCCCGAUCGACCCCAACUUGGCUCCACUACUGACCAACUAGAAAACGGAACAACAUAAAGAACAUGAUCUUCAUAGAGCUCCUUCUUGAGCUUGGUUGCGUCAUCUGCACGGUUCAACAUCACCUUCAAACUGGUUUUGGAAGUAUCUGUGAGUCACGGGGACUCAGCAAUCUCACACCCUUGCGAUCAAGACUAUUUAAGCUUAUGGGUAAGGUAAAGGUAUGAUGUGGAGCUGCAGCAAGCGACUAGCAUAUAUGGUGGCUAACAUACGCAAAAGAGAGCGAGAAGAGAAGGCAAAGCACGAUCGUGAAACUAUGAUCAAGAAGUGAUCCUAGAACAAUCUACGUCAAGCAUAACUCCAACACCGUGUUCACUUCCCGGACUCCGCCGGAAAGAGACCCUCACGGUUACACACGCAGUUGAUUCAUUUUAAUUAAGUUAAGGUUCAAGUUAUCUACAACCGGACAUUAACAGUUUCCCAUCUGCCCAUAACCACGGGCACGGCUUGCGAAAGUUCAAAUCCCUACAGGGGAGUCCCAACUUAGCCCAUGACAAGCUCUCACGGUCAACGAAGGAUAUACCUUCUCCUGGGACAUUCCGAUCAGACUCGGCAUCCCGGUUCUACAAGACAACUUCGACAAGUUAAAACAAAUCCAGCAACACCGCCCGAAUGUGCCGACAAAUCCCGAUAGGAGCUGCACAUAUCUCGUUCUCAGGGCACACUCAGAUGAGCGCUCCAUACAACUAAAACCAAACCUCGAGUUUCCCCGAGGGGGCGCCGCACAGGACUCUAGUUUGGACCACCACUCAGAAGAGCACUGGCCCGGGGGGGUUUAAAAUAAGAUGACCCUCGGGCUCCGGAAACCCAAGGGAAAAAGAGGCUAGGUGGCAAAUGGUAAAACCAAGGUUGGGCAUUGCUGGAGGAGUUUUAUUCAAGGUGAACUGUCAAGGGGUUCCCAUUAUUACCCAACCGCGUAAGGAACGCAAAAUCUGGGAACAUAACACCAAUAUGACGGAAACUAGGGCGGCAAGAGUGGAACAAAACACUAGGCAAAAAGGCCGAGCCUUCCACCCUUUACCAAGUAUAUAGAUGCAUUAAGAUAACAAGAUAAUAUAAUGAUAUCCCAACAAUAAACAAUGUUCCAACAAAGAACGAUCUCCAAUCUUCACCUGCAACUAGCAACGCUAUAAGAGGGGCUGAGCAAAGCGGUAACAUAGCCAAACAACGGUUUGCUAGGACAAGGUGGGUUAGAGGCUUGGUUCUACAAUAUGGGAGGCAUGAUAAGCAAGUGGUAGGUAUCGCAGCAUAGGCAUAGCAAAAGAACGAGCAACUAGCAAGCAAAGAUAGAAGUGAUUUCGAGGGUAUGGUCAUCUUGCCUGAAAUCCCACAAGGAAGAAGAAACGAGUCCAUGAAGAAGAUAAACGGAUGUAGCCAACGGAUC
rnacentral:lncRNA from 1 species